rnacentral:lncRNA from 1 species
ACACUAAGACCCAACGGAAGAUUACCGGCAAGCUUCGCAACUUCAAAUGCUAGUUCCUUAAAAUCAUCAGGUGGAGAGUCUUUCCCAAAAGCAGAUCGGCAUAACAUCGUAAGAGCAAGAUGUUCAGAUGGGAACUCCACCUCAUAUAUAAGGUCAAUCUCAUGAGCCUUGAGAAGUUGCCUAUCUUGAGUGAUCACAAUUAUUCUGCUUCCAGAUCCAAACCAUUCAGCUUUUCCCACCAAGGUCUUAAGAAACUCUAGACUAUCCACAUCAUCAAGAAGGAUAAGAACUUUCUGUUGCUUUAACCUUUGCUCCACCACACCAAAAUGCUCUAUCUUUAUGUCCUUUUGACCUAAGAUUUCCGAGAGAAGUUCUUUUUCCCACCUCAACUUCAUGCCAGAGACGUCACUACCGCUGGUGCUUUUAUAUGUUAUGAAAGCGCGAUGGUGGAACUGGAUAGAGAGUUUACUGUAAAGAGCUCUUCCUAUGGUACUCUUACCAAUCCCUGAUUGUCCCCAAAUCCCGACCAUUAUUCUAGCUUCCUUGGAUUCCAAGCACAAUACUGAUUUUAUUGCCUCUAUAUGAUUUUCAAUUCCGACUAAGUCGCCAAAAUCAUCCGAUGGUGUCAUAGUUUUUCUCAAAACAUCCUCGGCAAGCUCUUCAAUCAUGGCUGCUUCACUAGGCCUAAUAACAAUAGUCAACUGUUUCAUUAAAGAAGCAACGCAAAACAAAAAAAUCACGAAGUCUAUUCAUUGAAAUACCAUUUCCGAAGAUCAUAUCCGGCCAUAACUGCAACAGCUGCUAGAGCUUGCUUCCAACUUUGUUUCUCAUCCUCUGAUUUAGCCUUGCAUGUCUCUUCAAAGACCUUUCCAAAUUCGCCGGUCUGUUUUUUAACUUCCGAAGCAUCAACGUGGAAGAAAAUCGGAAUCACCAUUUGAUUCAAAUUCGUAUAACACUUGUGAAUCUCCACCAAUUCAUUCAGGCACCAGGUGGAUGAAGCAUAGUUCUUAGAGAAGAUAACGAUUGCUAUUCUCGAUUCUUUUAUUGCCGAUAAAAGCUCCGGGCCGAUUGAGCGGCUCCUCUCGAUCUCAUCAUCUAUGAAUGUGAUUGCUUUGCCCCUGAGCUCCUUGAGAAGAUGGCUGAGGAAUGAGUCACGGACAUCUUCUCCACGAAAGCUUGGGAAAACGUCGUAUCUCCGGCUGCCAGAAGAAGAAGCUAUCUCCAUAUCAUCAUCUUUGGAUGUAUCCAUCAUUUCACGGUCGAGCUCGAGCUCCUUGACAAGAUGGCCACGAAACAAUUUGCCGAAAUUUUCUCCACUGAAGCUCGCGAAAACAUUGUAUAUCCAUCUGAGAACAUUGUAUAUCUAUCUGAAGCAAGAAGACGCCAUGGCAGAGGAUGAGAGAGAAGAGACGAAAUUUCUCAAAGGAAAACUCUUUGAAGUAUAUCAAUAAUACAACACAGUAACAGAGAGGAGAAACUUGGUCUUCCUUUCCUCGAAGACUUGUAUAGAAGACUUACUAUACAAGAUAUUGUUUUAGUGGUUAAAAUCAAAUCCCAUUACAAGACAAUUGGGACAAAUAAUACGUAAACUUGGUCUUCCUUUCUUAGAAGACUUGCAUAGAAGACUUACUGUACAAGAUAUUUUUUUAGUGGUUGAAAAAUCAAAUCCCUAACAAGAUAAGGCCAUAAUUAUGUGAUACAGAAACUUCCCCUUCCUUUCCUUGGAAAGCUUCUACUCUAUAACGAUAAGUCAAUUUUGUGGCUAUCAGUCGUCACUGAAUUUAUCUAUGAUGAUGAGACGUAGCCAUUCUACAAGAUUUCAAGAUAAUUUCUAGGCAAAAUAGACAGAAACUUCCUCGAGAGCUACUUUUCCUCUCCACAGAUAUUUUUGAAGACCCAAAAUUUUGUGGCUGUCAGUGGUUCAAGACAGAAACAAGAUUUCAAUUUAUUUUAACAAUGUUAAGGUUCACUAAUAUCAAAAGUCUGGUUUUCCUAUUCAUACUGUACAUACAUGCAUGGAAAUUAGGAGAAUAAUUAGUAUAUCGAUUAUGAGGAUUAUAAUUCAACUAAUAAUACAGUGAAAACACUAACAACAAACUAUCUAGUUUUCUAGAGCUGUGUGGUGUGGACAGUGGAGAGAAUAUUUUCAUGUAAAGUUUUCUUGUUUACAUUUACAAUUGUAAUAUUAGUUUAGAGUUUUGGCUUACUGUGUCAGCAACCACUGUAGGCUGCGAUUGCAUUUGCUGCCGUUUAAGGAGCAUUUGGUUUCUAAGGGUAGGUUUCAUGUACUGGAUGGAAGAAGUCGUGCUUGAGAGCAUCCUCUGCACUGAUUCGCCGUCUCGGGUUAACGGUCAAACAUCUAUCAACGAGGUCAAGGAGCGACCAUGGAAUUGCAUCUAGAAACUCCAUGCGUUUUGGGUUGAGUUCGUACCAUUUUCUCAACUCCAUCCCUUUCAAGUACCUUGACUUGUACAAUUCCUGAAACAACAACACAAAAAUCAACCUGAACUCAUCUCUCACGAUCAUCUAUCUAAUAAUUUUGUCGGUAAUUUACAUUUUUAAGAUAUAUAAUGUUUUGGAACACAAAAUGCUAACAAUGAAAACCCUUUUGUGAUAUUUGAAUCCAAAUGCUGGCGGCAAAGAAGAACAGAACAUGUAUGUUAUGUUCACACCAAUGCAGUAAUCAAAUGAAUGGAGAGUUUACAAGGGAUGAAAGAUGAGAUUUUACCUCAUGUAAAGAGGAUUCACGGUUGUGCAGCUUGGCUACUUCCCAUAAUUCUUCACUGCCUCGUAGUUGCGCAAUGUCCUUUAUGUUCCUGGGAAUGACAAGGUCGUUGUAAGACGGCAAGAAAGAAGAAAAAAGUGGAACCGAGUGAUGGUGUAUUCAGUCAAGUCAGAUCUUAACUGUUCAGGGUCACCAGUGAGAGCUUUCCUUCCCAUUAUGAGGUAUAACAAAGUAACUCCCGCAGAACACACGUCUUUUUUUAGGUCCUUGGUCCAAAGACCAUUCAGCCGAGAACAGCCCUAGAGAAUUAGCUUUUCCAUCCCAUCCUAGAUGUGUUAAUGAGUAGCUCAGGGAACAAGAUAUUUUCAUAUGGAUUUAACUAGUAUCAAGGGAAGUGAUAUAUCUGCAGGAAAAAUGGCUUGUGUCAAAACAUAUGAAAUCGUCUUGCCAUUAUCAUUAUAGUCAUGCUCGGUCCCAAGUUAUCCUAAAACAGAGGAAAACCGAAUAAUAAGAUGCUUCAGUUACCAGAACCAGAAUUCAAGAUAGGAAUUUCUUCAUCUUGUUGUUCACUUAUCAUGGAAUCAACACACAAAGAUUCCCCCUCCAGAGAUGGAUAAGAAGAAACUGAUGAUGCUUCUCCCUGCCCUAACGAAAGCUCCAUAUUUAGAGCGGUCAAGCUUGUGUCCGCUACAAUUUGGACACAGGGUAAGUUGAUAUAUUCUUCAGAUGUUCCCGAUGUCAUCUGCAUCGUAAACCAAAGGAUCGAUUCUGUUAAAUAGUCUGUCACUAAGGUAUUGAUCCUGGAAAAUAUAAUAAAACAUCAAGAGAUAGCUUUGCAAUUUUCAGUUCUAAUUAUGUCAAAAGGCUUACCCGCAUCCGCUUAUUGCUUCUCGCAGUCUCUACAACAUCACAUUUUUCUCGAGACUGUUGGCUGUACUCUGUUUCAGAGCUUCCAUCACUAUCAUCUGGAAAUGGAGACACAUUCAAGAGUCGUAUACCACAUUCUUUUAUCCUCUUGGAGCAAGAAAAGUUAAACUCCACAUCGUUGAAAGUCAAUUUAGAUGGAAGAUCUUCAGGCUGGAAGUUGAAGGAACAGAAAACCAGAUGAUCCGUCUUACACAACCGCAGGUCUGCAUCUUUAAAAAAUGAUUUGCAAUACAGUGUCCCAUUGAAGCCAGCAUUUACCUCACAAUAUGGACCCCAACUCUUGCCCUCAGUUAGAAGGUCAACCACGAUGCAAGCCUUAAAGCAAGAAUACUUGAGAAAGAGAGCUCUAAGGUAAAGUGACAGUUAGGGAAUCUCCAUAAGCUCGAUGUUGAAAAUACGUUGGCACUUCUCCACCUGGUAAGGACAUAGGCUUGAACAAUGACCGUAAGAUGAGUUCUCGCGCAUCUCCAUCCAAUUUGCAGCAGUUCUGGAAGAGAUAAUGAAAGGCCCCGAUCCGGACUACCUAAGUCCGGACGAGAUCUCUCGACCCAAGUCACUAAGUGACUCGACCCAAGUCACUAAGUGACUCGACCCUAACCAUUUAUGAGGUUCAUUCCCUAGUGUAAUCCGUUUCAUACAAUUCUGUGAUUCAAUAUAUGAGACGAAUAGAGUAAACAAACAAUCGGAUACUUUAUUAAUUAAGUAAAGGAUUCGAUACAACUUAUGAGUUUGCAUAUAAGCUAUUACAAGUAAUUUAAUCGAUCCCUAGACUAUCCGAAACUAUCACCACCCAUCAUUCCGGCCUUGAGUCUCUCGCGCCUAAGCCAAGUCCUUCCCACUAUCACCAUUGGUUCCUGAAAGUCAUAGAGCCAUAAGUAAUUUCAUUUACUUAGUCAUAUGCAAGUCCAUGCAAUGCUCCAUAGUCCUUACACUACUCGGAUCCGCGGAGAGGAUUCGGAGAAGGGAAGAUCGCGCAUAAGUCCGGCCGAUUCUCGGUAGGUCAAUUAAGACCCGCCGGUCCUCCGCCGAGCCGCGUCUCCGCCCCAGCCGAUCCCUUGCCCGGACCGAGGCUUGUGUAGGUUGCACAUGACCCGAUUCUACCCAGCCCAUUAGUCGUUCCUUUCAAGGAAUCCCGACUCAUUUAACGCAUUCUAGAAUCCUUAGACUCGAGGUCUAGGAUUCCUUACCUUCCUUCACGAUGUUCGGUCGAUCCGACCCUUCUUCUUCCUUGCCGGCCACAGUCCGCCUACCGAUUUCCUCCGAUGAUUUAUUCUCCCGAAAGGGAGAGAGUUUAAUGGUGAGUUUCCGGUAUUUUCCGUGUGUUCUGCUGCCUCUAAAGGUCUUGGGCGCCCUCCCUUAUAUAAGGAGCGAAUUGAUGCUUCCCGAAGGAUCACCUCCGUUCCUUGCACCUUUCCGAAGAGUUGCAUCUCUCGGUCCGUAACUGCUCGCCCUUAUCCACCCUUUGGGCGAGCACCCGUUCGACCGUAACCGCCCAAGUAACCGUCCGGGUAACCGCCCAGCUGGUCAGACAGUCGACCAGCUGCCUCGAGCUCAACCGUCACUCGCCCAGCUGCUCGAGCUGGACUGUCACUCAACCCGAGUAACCGUCACUCCUUCCAGCUGAGCUUGAGCUUCGGACGAGCUGACCCAGCUGAUUCCUUUACGAUCCUAGCUUAGCCCGCAUGAUUUCCCUUUGUCCGAGCUUAUGGCCAACUCCUUCCCACUUGUCCGAGACUCCACCUUCUUUUCUCGGACCAAGUCCCAGCCAACGAUCCUAUUGAGGAUCGCGGGCGUUACAAGUCUCCCCUUUGAAUUGGAUUCGACAAAUCGAAUCCAAGUUGAUCUUUACCCAUCUCCUUGAACCACUCCGGAAAAUUGGCCUUCAUCUUAGUCUCGGUUUCCCAAGUGUAUUCUUCACGGCCUCCACAAUUCCACAAGAUUUUUAACAAAUCCAUUGAUUUCCCCCGAGUCCCUUUCUUCAUUUGGUCCAUGAUCCGUACCGGCCAUGCUUCCACCGUCAUGUUCUCCUUUAACCCAGGAGGUACAUCUUCCAUGCUUUCUUCUUGUUCACUUAAGCACUUCCGUAGUUGUGAUACAUGAAAGACAUUGUGAAACGCGUCUAGUUUUGGAGGAAGGUCAAGUUUGUAUGCCACCGCCCCUACUCGUUCGAUCACUUUGUACGGGCCAACGUACCUUGGCCUUAACUUUUUCCUUGAUGUGAAUCGCCCUGCCCCUUUGUAGGUCAUCGCCUUUAAAUACACCAAGUCUCCCACUUGGAAUUCUAAUUCCUUUCGACGCUUGUUGGCGUAACUUUUCUGACGAUCUUGGGCUUCCUUUAACUUGAUUUUUAAGAACUUCAUUUUCUUCGUGGUUUCAUCCACGACCGCAGGUCCGAACAACCGACGUUCGCCCACUGGCGUCCAACACAACGGUGUUCUACCAGCUCGGCCAUACAACGCCUCAUAGGGAGACAUACCAAUACUAGCUUGAAAACUGUUAUUGUACGCAAAUUCUACUAACCUUAGAUAUUUCUCCCAGUUUCCUCCCCAAUCCAAGACGCAUGCCCUCAACAUGUCCUCGAGGGUUUGAAUCGUUCGUUCGGACUGUCCGUCCGUCUGUGGGUGAUAUGCAGUACUUAGAUUCACUCGAGUCCCUAAGACCUUUUGAAAAGGCUUCCAAAAUUUUGACGUGAACCUUGUGUCUCGGUCCGACACUAUACUAACCGGAAUCCCAUGUAAUCGCACGAUCUCGUCUAUGUACUUCUCGGCAAUGAUUUCGGCUGCAUCCUUAUCCGAGAUUGCCAUGAAGUGCGCAGACUUAGUCAAUCGGUCUACUACAACCCAUACCGCAUUGUGUUUGGACUUGAUCCCCGUCGGCAGUCCCGUGACGAAGUCCAUCAUUAUAUGGUCCCACUUCCAUUCCGGUAUAGGUAGGUUUUGUAACAUUCCACUUGGUACUUGAUGCUCUUCCUUGGCUACCCACCUGGCCACAUCUUUCUUCAUUCCUACCCAAUGGUAGUAUCUUUUAAGGUCGCGAUACAUCUUGUUCGACCCAGGAUGGAUCGAGAACUUCGAUUGAUGCGCUUCUUUUAGGAUUUCCUCCUUCAACGCCUUAUCGUUCGGCCCACAUACUCGACCGUUCACCACGAUAGUACCAUUGUUCGAGCUUUGGUACUCGGUUUUAUUGUUUUGUGCCCACCCUUUUAUUUCUUCAUCUCGUUCUUGAGCCGACCGGAUCCUACUAAGUAGGUCGGCUUGAUUGGCGGCUCUCAACCCUAAGGGUUCAACUUCCUUAGACAAAGCAUUCAAAUGCAAUGUCCCCAUCAUGUUAACCAAAUUCACUUGGUUCCUUUCCGCUUCCACUACCGUGCGCAGCCUGCUCAAAGCAUCUACAACUUGGUUGGCCUUGCCCGGAUGGUACGCUAUGUUCAAGUCGUAAUCCGCCACAAGUUUUAUCCACCUUCUUUGCCUUAGAUUUAACUCCGGCUGGGUGAAUAUGUAUUUUAGGCUCUUGUGGUCAGUAAAGAUUUGAACCUUGGCACCAUACAAAUAUGAUCGCCAAAUCUUCAACGCAAAUACUACCGCGGCCAUUUCCAAAUCAUUCGUAGGGUAGUUCUUCUCGUGUUUCCGCAAUUGCCUCGAGGCGUAUGCGAUAACACUCCCCUUUUGGAUCAAUACGCAUCCUAGUCCUACUAUGGAUGCGUCCGUGUAGACCGUAUAGGGCUCACCUUCCUCCGGUAAGACCAACACCGGUGCAUUAGUCAACAUGGCCUUUAACUCCAGGAAGCUUCUCUCGCAUUCCUCCGACCAGUUGAAUGCGGUGUCUUUUCCGGUCAAUUGAGUCAUGGGUUGGGCCAUGCUCGCAAAUCUCUCGACCCAAGUCACUAAGUGAAUGGACCCUAACCAUUUAUGAGGUUCAUUCCCUAGUGUAAUCCGUUUCAUACGAUUCUGUGAUUCAAUAUAUGAGACGAAUAGAGUAAACAAACAAUCAGAUACUUUAUUAAUUAAGUAAAGGAUUCGAUACAACUUAUGAGUUUGCAUAUAAGCUAUUACAAGUAAUAUAAUUGAUCCCUAGACUAUCCGAAACUAUCACCACCCAUCAUCCCGGCCUUGAGUCUCUCGCGCCUAAGCCAAGUCCUUCCCACGAUCACCAUUGGUUCCUGAAAGUCAUAGAGCCAUAAGUAAUCUCAUUUACUUAGUCAUAUGCAAGUCCAUGCAAUGCUCCAUAGUCCUUACACUACUCGGAUCCGCGGAGAGGAUUUGGAGAGGGGAAGAUCGCGCAUAAGUCCAGCCGAUUCUCGGUAGGUCAAUUAAGACCCUCCGGUCCUCCACCGAGCCGCGUCCCCGCCCUAGCCGAUCCCUUGCCCGGACUGAGUCUUGUGUAGGUUGCACAUGACCCGAUUCUACCCAGCCCAUUAGUCGUUCCUUUCAAGGAAUCUCGACUCAAUUAACGUAUUCUAGAAUCCUUAGACUCGAGGUCUAGGUUUCCCUUACCUUCCUUCACGAUGUUCGGUCGAUCCGACCCUUCUUCUUCCUUGCCGGUCACAGUCCGACUACCGAUUUCCUCCGACGAUUUAUUCUCCCGAAAGGACGAGAGUUUAAUAGUGAGUUUCCGGUAUUUUCUGUGUGUUCUGGUGCCUCUAAAGGUCUUGGGCACCCUCCCUUAUAUAAGGGGCGAAUUGAUGCUUCCCGAAGGAUCACCUCCGUUCCUUGCACCUUUCCGAAGAGUUGCAUCUCUCGGUCCGUAACUGCUCGCCCUUAUCCACCCUUUGGGCGAGCACCCGUUCGACCGUAACCGCCCAAGUAACCGUCCGGGUAACCGCCCAGCUGGUCAGACAGUCGACCAGCUGCCUCGAGCUCAACCGUCACUCGCCCAGCUGCUCGAGGUGGACUGUCACUCAACCCGAGUAACCGUCACCCCUUCCAGCUGAGCUUGAGCUUCGGACGAGCUGACCCAGCUGAUUCCUUUACGAUCCUAGCUUAGCCCGCAUGAUUUCCCUUUGUCCGAGCUUAUGGCCAACUCCUUCCCACUUGUCCGAGACUCCACCUUCUUUUCUCAGACCAAGUCCCAGCCAACAAUCCUAUUGAGGAUCGCGGGCGUUACAGAUAACCUGCCCUACAGGCCAAAUGUUUGUGGUUAAGGUUUUCCCAGAAACGAUGACGAGUAUACUCAAUGUUUUCAUAUAAUGGUAUAUAAGAAGAGUGAUCUUCCACACUGGCAUCACUCAUCGCCACGUUGACACCUCUACAUUCUGUAAAGUCGACGAGCUUAAGAAUUGUCAGUCUGAAAAUGUUUGGCGAGAUGUUUUUCAACCUCUUGCAACAAUACAUCAUAAGUACAGUGAGCCACGAGAAAUUUUCAAUGCAGCAGGGAACUUCUUCAAUAGCGGUGUUUUCCAGAUAGAGCCAUUUGAUACUCUUUGAAAUCAGAGGAAAAGUUCUCAAACUUGAGCAACCACUCAGAUCAAGCAUUUUAAGAGAUGACAAGUUGACAUCGGUUGGAAGAACCUCCAGCCCUGUGCAUUCUUUCAUUUCCAACCUCACCAAUUUUUGGAGAUUCCCAAUUGUAGAAGGAACUGUCACCAAACUUUUGCAAUUAGAGAGAUAUAAAUUCACCAGAUUAGUGGCCUUUGAAAGAUCUGGAAUUUCUGUCAGGUUUCCACAUUCUGACAUAUCCAUCUCCACGAGACUUGCAAGCGACUGAAACAGAAAUUAAAAAAAAAAAUUGUUAUGCUUCAAUCACUUUCAUUUUAAUUUAAUAACUAUACACAUUUAAACAAAAUUAUAAUCAAGACAUAAUUCUGUAUGUAAAUAUAAACCGUGGAAUCACAAGCCAUUUUGACAACUUUAAUUUGGUUAUACGUAAUUAUUUACAACAGAGGUUAAACAAAAAUCAGCAAAUGCUAUAAUAUUAACAAUGUACCUGGACGCCUUCCCAUAGCUUCUCAAGCAUUUGGUUGCCUCUCACUAUGAGACGAACCAGAUCAUUUGGGCGAAAUUCACAUGGCAUACAUCUCACAAGGCAGGCGAGAUAAUCAAGACCAGGGAGAUUCUUGUUCCAUAUACAAUUUUCUACGCGGAUCUCAAUUCCAUGUGGCGAAGUAGUUGAAGUUUCCAUUUUAAACACAGGGAAAUUUUUCUCAAAUUAUCGUAAUAAAGGAGACCGAGGUACUCAAGAGAUUCCAAGUUGAGAUGAGUUGGAAAACUCUCUAGCUUUGUGCAACCCCUCAUAUCUAAAUAGAUCAGUUUAAUGGCAUUCUGAAUCGAGGAAGAAAGUGUCACCAAAGAUCUGCAUUCCGAAAGAUUUAAUUCCUCGAGGUUUCUGGCAUUAGAAAGAUCUGAAAUUUCUCUCAAAUAUCUGGAACCAUGCAUAUUCAUCCUCUUGAGGCUUCCAAGUGGCUGAAAACAAAAUAGGGAAAAACAUAAUACACACAUUCAUAAACAUUUCAAAUAGAUUAAUUUUUACCACAGGUCUGUUCUAAAAAUUGACAACUAUUUCAAUGAAGAAUUAAGUACCACAGUUCCUUCCCACAGCUUCUCAAGCUUACUUCCCAUCAUUGUGAGUUGAAUGAGGUAAUCCGCCUUAAAACUAUAAGGCAAACAUUUCAAUGGACACCUAUCCCAGUCUAGCAAUCUGAGUUUAGGGGGCAAAUAAACGAGGCUCUGAGGUAGAUCCAUAUAAUCCCCAGUAACUGAUAGACAUUGGAGAUUACGCAUGCCUUGGAACGAUUUUUCAUCUAUUGGUAAUAGCUCUUUUGAUCGGAAAGCUGUGCAGAAACGUAUUCCAAGAACUGUUUCUGUCCCCUGAAAAAAAUACGAAGUAAACUAGUAUAAUGAUAUAAUCUUUACAAUGGCAACCGUUUUUAUUUUUCUGAGACAUCAAAAGAGCUAGCCACGUUUUAAUUAAGCAGGAGAGGCAACAAUUGUUAAAGUUUAUCAAUCCCCAAAUGACGAUUAAAUUAAUAUAAAGUCAUGCAUUAAAAGGCAUCUGCUAAAAACUUACAGUUUUCUCUGUCAAUACUUCUCAGAGUAUCCUCAAAAUCCGUUAGAAAUCGACGUUUUCCAGGAUUACCCUUGGACUUUGCACGAUCAAUUUCUAUACCCAAUUUCUCUAGCAAAUUGUGCAUCUCUAUAUCUCCAUCCGGUGUAAUACGUAUGAGGGACUUCUCAACCAACAUUGUAACCCCAACAUUAUCUUCAAGUAAAUCGUUGACGUAACUGACUUCAAAACCAUUGAAUAAACACGCGAUGUAAAGGAACAUAUCUUGAUCUUUUUGAUGUAAUCUAUCGUAGCUGACUCUUAAUGUUUUCAUAAUAUCUCCGUUCAAACCAUUUCGGAACCUAGGCAUCAUCUCCAUCCACUCUUCUUUGGUCCUUCGUUUUAAAGACGAACCAAGGACACUGAGACCCAAAGGAAGAUUACCGGCAAGCACUGCAACUUCAAAUGCUAGUGCCUUAAAAUCAUCAGGUGGAGAGUUUUCCCCAAAAGCAGAUCGGCAUAACAUCUUAAGAGCAAGAUCUAGAGAUGGGAACUUCACCUCAUAUAAAAGGUCAAUAUCAUGAGCCUUAAGAAGUUGCAUAUCUUGAGUGAUCACAAUAAUUCUGCUUCCAGGUCCAAACCAUUUAGUUUCCCCCACCAAGGUCUUAAGAAACUCUGGAUCAUCCACAUCAUCAAGAACGAUAAGAACUUUCUUCUGAUUUAACAUUUGCUCCACUACACCUAACUUCCCUCCUAUCUUUAUAUCCUUACCAAGAAUUUUUGACAGAAAUAUUUCUUCCCAUUCAGACUUCAUGCUAUAGACGUGAGGUACGAAAGCGUGAAAGUGGAAUUGGCAAAAGAGUUGACUGUAUAGAGCUUUUCCUAUGGUACUCUUACCAAUCCCUGAAGGCCCCCAAAUCCCAACCAUUCUAGCUUCCUUGGAUUCCAAGCACAAUAUUGAAUUCAUUGCCUCUAAAUGAGCUUCAAUUCCGACGAAAUCGCCAAAAGAAUUCGAUGGUGAAAUAAGCUUAUUCGAAACAUCAUUAGCUAUCUUUACAACCAUGGCUGCUUCACUAGGCCUAAUAACAGUAGUCAAAUUGUGUCAAUAAAGAGGCACCCCUAAAGCACACAAUCCAAAAAAAGAAGAAGCAGAUAGCAUAGUUCAGAGAUAAUUAAAAACACACUCAGAGAUAAUGAAAUCAAAAACAAAGUACCCGUUUCGAAGAUCUUCUCCGGCUAUAUUUGUUAUGUCUACUAGAGCUUGCAUCCAUCUUUGUUUCUGAUCCUCUUCUUUGUCCUCGCAUGUCUUUUUAAAAACAUCGCCAAAUUCGCCGGUCUGUUUUCUAACUUCCGAAGGAUCAACGUCGUAAAAAACUGAAAUCACCAAUUGACCCCAAUCAUUUAAGCGAUUGUGGAUCUCAACCAAUUCAUCCAAGCACCAAGUGGAAGAAGCAUAGUUCUUAGAGAAGAUCACGAUUGAGAUCCUUGCUUCUCUAAUCGCUGAUAUUAGCUCAGGGGCUAUUGUACGGCUUCGUUCGAUGCCAUGAUCCAUGAAUGUAUUGAUUGAUCUGCGGUCGAACGCCUCGAGUAGAUUGCUGAGGAACGUCUUGCGAACAUCUACCCCACUGAAGCUUGGGAAAACAUCGUAUCUCCGGCUGCAAGAAGAAGAAGCCGCCGCCAUGGAAUAUGAUGAGGAGAAGAUAAGUACAGUAAAUCGAAUACACAGUGAUUAUUGAUUAGAGUGAUUACUGUGAGGCCGGUCCUUAAGGGUGGGAUGCGCAAGGAAACUUCUUAUUUUUUGCCCAUAGGCCAUAAAUAUAAAAAUGUAGCGAAAUGUUUGUAAUGAGGUUCGAACCAAGGCCAAUGAAGCAUUUAAAACCUGAUUUCAAGUAUUCAACCGCUCAACUACAAGUUAUGAUGCCUCUUAAAUCAAUAUUAGAUUUAUUUUGGUGUCCAAGGUCUUUGCUUAUUGUAAAAAGGACAGCUUAUCGUAAACAUGUUGAGUGGGGAAUUCAGUCUUUGUUUCCCUAUACUUACAUGCAUAGAAACUAGGAGAAUUUGUAAGUAUAUCAAUUAUGAGGAUUUUAAUUCACAUAAUAAUAUAGUGAAAACAUUAACUAUCUAGUUUGUUAAAAAAAAAACUCUUUUAGCUUUCUAGAGUUGUGUGGUGUGGUGUGGAUGGACAGUGGAGUGAAGAUUUCUAGAAACUCUCUGCGUUUUGUGUUGAGUUCUCCUCAUUUUCUCAACUCCAUCCCCUUCAAGUACCUUGACACGUACAAUUCCUGAAACAACAACACAAAAAUCUAUGUGAAUUCAGCUCUCACGAUCAUCUAUCAAAUCACUUUAUCAGUAAUUUACAUUUUAAAGUUAUAUCAUGUUCUGGACUAACAAUGAAAACCAUUUUAUGUGAUAUUUGAAUCCAUAUGCUGGUGGCAAAGAAGAACAGAGCAUUUGUAUUAUGUCACACAAAUUCAGCAAUCAAGUGAAUGGAGAGUUUAUAAGGGAUGUAAGAUGAGAUUUUACCUCAGGCAAAGAGGUUUCACGAUUGCAGCUUGGCUACUUCCCAUAAGUCUUCACUGCCUCGUAGUUACUCAAUGUCCUUUAUGUUCCUAGGAAUCACAAGGUCGUUGUAAGACGGCAAGAACGAAAAAAGAGUGGAAUCGACUGAUGGUGUAUUAUAUUUUUAUUUAUUAUUAUUAGGUCAUUGGUGCAAAUAUCUGAAGCAAACCUGCACAAACCAAUUCAGCUAAAAUAAGCACCAGAGAAAUUAGCUUUCACAUCCUAAAUGUGACAAUGACUAGCUCACUUGACCUCAGGGUCGUGAUUGAGUUUGGUGGUUGUGGCCGGUGAGUAGGACGGGUGGAAGCUGGUUUUGUAUGUAUGGGGCAGUGGUGGUGCUGAGUUAUGUUGUAAUCACUGUUUUUUACUGUGAGUGUAGGAAACGCCAUGGUAGCAGUGAUGCAUUUAAUGCUGAUGAGGUUGCUAUUUAAAAAUUUAGUUCCAACACUUUUUUGUUGUUGAUAAUUCUCUUGUGAAAUACAUUUUUCUUUACCGAAUUUAUUCAUUGAUUUAAAGAGAGAAAAAUAACCUUUGGUAACAUACACGUAGAGAGAUAUGUGUGUUUCAAAAGACAAGACUGUUAUAUUUACAUCUUUUCAGGAAAGCGAAUUUUUCAAAGAAGCAAAACAGAGAGAAGUAAGAACAGAGUGGUUCUGCUGUUCUGGACAUGGAACCAUAAAAGUUUUCUAGUUGUCAGUGCUCCAUCAUCUGCAGGAGAAAAUGGCUUGUGUGAAAAACUAAGAAAUCGUCUUGUCAUUACCAGUAUAGUCAUGGUCGAUCCCAUGUUCAUUAUAAAACAGAGUUGUAAUACGUUUCAGGUUACCUUAACAAUGUGAUAAGCUGUAGAGACGGCUAAGGAUCCAGGAAAGGAAUCUUAACAAUGUGAUGGUGUGAAUUCAGUCAAGGCAGAUCUUAACUGUUCAGGGUCAGCAGUGAAAGGUGUCGUCCCCAUCAGACCAUACGUUUUAUUUAGGCCCUUGAUGCAAAGAUCUGAAGCAAACCAAUUCAGUCAAGAACAGCCCCAGAGAAUGAGCUUCCCAUCCUAGAUGUUCUAGUGAGUAGUUCAGGCCUACAACUUUCACUCUUCUCGAUAUAAUUAAAGAGUGCAGCGGCAUAGGGGAACAGCAGCGACAUAUUUUCUCAUCGACGUAGGAUAGCUGGAUGAUACUUCAUGGUUUGGAAGUGGACCAGACAAUGUCUCCUGUAGAAAGUUUAAAAGCUCUUUCCUUCACCCGAAGGAUUGUUCCUUAUGCUGGUUACAUCUUUGGCCGAAGUUAGGCCAAAAACGCUUCUGCCUUUUGGCUAUUGAAUCAGCGGAUAUGCAAAUGUUGCUGAUUCUUGUUGUUUUCUGUACCCAAAGUCUGAUUUAUUCAUUGCUAAUAAAGAGAAAAACAACCUUUACUAACAUAAACAUUGAGAUCUAUGUUUUAAAAAGGCAAGACUAUUUUGGGUAGUACCUGCACUCAAGCAGGUACGCUCCCAAAUUCAAUGUCUUUCUUAAAAAUAGAAUAUGUUUUUACAAAACAAAACAAUGCCAAAGAUGUUUUUCCAGAAUAUGCUAAAGUAUGGCUUUCUGAAACAUUUAUUCUUUCAGGAAAAGUGAAAUGUUCAAAACAAACGCAGAGCUGGAUAAUGUAACGGACUUUGGUUCUCCUAAAGAUCUUCAUCAUCUGCAGUUAAUUAUCAUUAUCAUUAUAGUCAUAGUCGAUCCCAAGUUAUCCUAAAACAGAGUAAAACAGAAUGAUAAGAUGCUUCAGUUACCAGAAUCAGUAGACAAGAUAGGAAUUUCUUCAUCUUGUUCUUCAGUUAUCAUGUAAUCAACACACAAAGCUUCCCCCUCUAGAGAUGUUGAUGAUGAUGCUUCUCCCUGCCCUAACGAAAGCUCCAUAUUUAGAGCGGCCAAUCCUGAGUCCGCUACAAUUUGGCCAUAGGGUAAGUUGAUAUAUUCUUCAGAUGUCCCCGAUGUCAUCUGCAUUAUAAAUCAAACGAUCGAUUCUAUUAAAUAGUCUGUCCCUAUGGUGUUUCGAUCCUGAAAAAUCAAACCAAAAGUCAAAAGAUAGCUUUAUAAUUUUCAGCUCUAAUCAAAAGUCAAAAGAUACCCCCAUCCGCUUCUCGCUUCUCGUAGUCUGUUGGUUGUACUCUGUUUCUUGAUAGACAUACAAGAGUCGUACACCGCAUUCUUUGAUCCUAUUGGAGCAACAAAAUUUAAACUCCAUUCAGACCAGAUCUUGAAGGAACAGAAAAACAGAUGAUCCGUCUUACAAAACUGCAGGUCUGCAUCUUCAAAAAAUGAUUUCUGAUACUGUUUGCCAUUGAAGCCAACAUUUACCUUCAAGGAUGGAUAAAAACCCUUGCCCUCGGAGGGAGGUUCAACCACGACGCAAGCCUUAAAUGGAAAGAAGUAUUGAGAAAGAGAGCUCUGAGGUAAAGUGACAGUUAGGGAAUCUCCAUAAGCUCGAUACGUGAAAUACUUAGGGAUUUCUCCACCUGGUAAGGCCACAUGCUUGAAGCAUGAUCGUAGGAUAAGUUCUCGCGCAUCUCUUUCCAAUUUGAAGCAAUUGCAGAAGCUAAAGGAUUCCCUACGUAAGCGCCAAUCUACGACGUAGUUCUUAUAAUCAUCAUCAUACAACGCAUCCCAGAAACGUUCACAUGUAUAUUCAAUGUUUUCAGAUAAUGGUACACAAGAAACGUGAUCUUCCAUUGUCGCUACCACAGUUGCAUCACUCAACGCCUUGAUGACACCUCUACAGUCUGUAAAGUCGGCGAACAUUAGACUUCUCAGUCUGAAAAUGUUUGGGGAGAUGUUUUUCAACCUCUGGCAACAAUACAUCAGUAGUACACGGAGCCUCGUGAAAUCCUCAAUGCAGCAGGGAACUUCUCCAAUGGCGGUGUUUUCCAGAUAGAGCCAUACAAUAUUAGUUGAAAUCAGAGGAAAAGUUCUCAAACUUGAGCAACCACUGAGAUCGAGGAUACCCAGAGAUGACAAGUUGACAUCGGUUGGAAGAACCUCCAGCCCUGUGCAUCUUUUCAUGUACAAACGUCUCAAAUUUUGAAGAUUCCCAAUUGUAGAAGGAAGUGUCACCAAACUUUUGCAGUUGUUGAGUAUCAAAGACUCGAGCUUGGUGGCCUUUGAAAGAUCUAGAAUUUCUUCAAUGGCGGUGUUUUCCAGAUAGAGCCAUUUGAUACUCUUUGAAAUCAGAGGAAAAGUUCUCAAACUUGAGCAACCACUGAGAUCGAGGGUUUCGAGAGAUGACAAGUUGACAUCGGUUGGAAGAACCUCCAGCCCUGUGCAUUCUUUCAUUUCCAACCUCACCAAUUUUUGGAGAUUCCCAAUAGUAGAAGGAAGUGUCACCAAACUUUUGCAGUUGUUGAGAUAUAAAUGCUUCAGAUUGGUGGCCUUUGAAAGAUCUGGAAUUUCUGUCAGGUUUUCAGAUUCUGACAGAUCCAUCUCUUCGAGACUUCCAAGCGACUGAAAAAAACAUUAUCGAUGAUAAUCAUUUUAAUUUUAUACCUAUAUAUGUUUAAAAUUAUAAUUAAACAUUAUUACGUAUGUAUGUAAGACAUAACCGUGGAUCGACCACAAGCCAUAAAAACAAAUUUGGGUAUACUUAAUUAGUUAUAUAACAGAAGGUAAACAAAAAUCAGCAUAGCAUUAACAAUGUACCUGGAUGCCUUCCCAUAGCUUCUCAUGCUUGUAGCACCUCACAUUGAGAAAAACGAGAUAUUCUGGGCGAAAUUCACAAGGCAUACAUCUCAUAAGGCAGUCGAGAUAAUCUAGUCCAGCAGGGAGAUUCUUGUUCCAGAAACAAUCUUCUACCACGAUCUCAUUUCUCCCUUCCGGAAAGUCAACGUCUGAACAUCCCAUUUUGAUUGCUGGGAAAUUUCUCAAAUUCGGGCAUCCAGUGAGAUUGAGGUACUCGAGAGAUUCCAAGUUGAGAUCGGUUGGAAAACUCUCUAGCUUUUUGCAAUCACUAAUAUCUAAAUAGAUAAGUUUAAUGGCAUUCUGCAUCGAGGAAGGAAAUGUCACCAAGGAUUCGCAUUUACAAAUAUCUACUUCCUCGAGGUUUAUGGCUAAAGAAAGAUCUGGAAUCUCUUUCAAAUAUUUGGAACCACGCAGAAACAUCUGCUUGAGUCUUCCAAGUGGCUAAUAACAAAAUAGGGGAAAAGAGAGUACACACGUUAGUGAACAUUUUAAACAGAUUCAUUUUAGUUUUUCUAACAGAUUUAUGUUUAGAAAUUGAUCACUAAUAGAAUUAGUACCUGAGUUCCAUCCCACAGCUUCUCAAGGUCACUAUUCUCCAUUCUGAGUUUAACCAGAUACUCAACCUUAAAAUUAGAAUGCAAACGCUUCAAUGGACAAUUAUUCCACAAUAGCAAUCUGAGUUUACUAGGGAAAUAAACGAUGCCCUGAGUGCCUUCCAUACGUGAGCAAUCAACUGAUAGAUAUUCGAGAUUACACAUGCCUUCUAAUGAUUUUAAAUCUAUUAAUAGCACCCCCGAACAAUAUAACGUCCUCAGUUUAAUGGCAUUCUGAAUCGAGGAAGGAAGUGUCACCAAAGAUUCGCAUUCAGAAAGAUUUAAUUCCUCGAGGUUUAUGGCUAAAGAAAGAUCUGGAAUUUCUUUAAAAUAUUUGGAAUACCACAAAUUCAUCUUCUUGAGACUUCCAAGGGGCUGAAAACAACAUAUGGAAAAAGAGAAUACACACGUUCACAAUUUUUUUAAAACAGAUUCAUUUGAAGCUUUUCUAACAUAUAUAUGUUCAUAAAUAUACCACAGUUCUAUUCUAAAAACUGACAACUAAUAAAAUUUAUAAUUCGUACCAGAGUUCCUUCCCACAGUUUCUCAAGCUUACUAUUCUUCAUUAUGAGUUUAACUAGAUACUCCGCCCUAAAAGUAGAUGGCAAAGACUUCAACGGACAAUAAACCCAUUCUAGCAAUCUGAGUUUAAGGGGCAAAUAAACGAGGCUCUGAGGUAGAUCCCCAUCUGACCAAUAACCAAUUUCUAGAUAUUGGAGAUUACGCAUGCCUUUGAAUAAUUUUUCAUCUAUUAAGAACGACCUUGUCGUAAGAUAUCCCGGGUGUGGCAAACGUAUUCCAAGAAGAAUUUCUGUCCCCUGAAAAAAAAUCCGAAGAAAACUAAUAUAAUCUUAACAAUCGCAACCUUUUUUUAUUUUUCUGACACAUCAAAGCUACGUUUUAAUUACGCAUGAGGCAACAAUUGCUUAAGUUUAUCAAUCCCCAAAUUACGAUUAUACUAGAUAUUGACCCGCGGUGUACCGCGGGUGGAUAUGUUCAUAGAAAAGUUAUACAUAUUUUUUAUACGAAUUAUUAUUUUUAUAUAAAUAAUAUUUUCUUAACACAUAAUUUUUAUUUAUGUAAAUCUUGGAUAAUUCAUGUUUUAUGUUCUCAUAUUUGUUAGUUUAAUAUUAAAAUUCAGUAUUUGUUUUUUUGGUUUGGGUUUUUUAGAGAUAAUAAAGAUCUAAAAUUCAUGUUUGGGGUCGAUAUUUUUAUCAGAAAAUUAAAUAUUUUUAUUUUAAUUAAUAUUAUUUAUAUAUAUAAUAUAUUCAAGAAGUACAUCAAAGGCCUAUAUUUUUAUUAAAUAAAAAAUAAUAUUUUUGUCUUUAAAAUGAUCUAUAGAUAUAUGCUAUUGUUUUUUUAUGUAUGAUACUAUGAUACACCUCUGUAUGAUUUUUAUAACUAAUUUUUUUUAAAAAAAUUAAAAUUUUUUUUAGUGUUUAAAAUUGUAUAAUUGUAUUUUGAUUGUUAAUUUUAGGAUUUCAUCCAUAGUAUAUCAUCCCGUAUCAAUAUCGAUCCAAACUCAUCCCACCAUAUAACCUCGUCCCGUGAAAUUAAAACUUCAUAAAAUUUUAAAAUCAUUAAUAUUUUAAAAAAAUUUAUAGACUUUAACUUUUAAAAAAGUUUAAAAAUUUGUAAUACUUAACUUUUAAUAAAGUUUCAAAAUAUAUAAUAUUUUAAAACUUUAAAACUUUUACUUAUUUAAAAUAAAGAACCAAAGUAAAACGAAAGCUCCUGCUCUUUCGUUUUCAGAAUCACUUUGGUCUUUUUUAUAGUAUAACUCUUAACGAUUUCCUCAUUUUUAAGCAAUGUGAGACCUUUAAAACUUAUUUUUUUUCAUCGAUGGAGUAUUAUAUGUUUGUUUUAAGAAAUUUAAAUUUCAUCAGAUGCAAAAAAAAUCUAAUAUUUUAUUAACUAUAUGUAUUUUAUAUAUAAAGUAAAAAAAAAUAGAUAUAAAAACAAAUAUAGUGACAGAAAAAUUAUAUAUUUAUAUUUAAUGUCGAUAUAUAGAUUUUAGAAAAUUAGCCUUAAUCGAAUAUAGUUCAAUAAAGAAAGAUUUAGUUAAGGAUAAAAAUUUAGGAAAGAGUUAAUUCAACUAAUUAAUGCAAUUAAGCUAAUUGUAAUUUUUUAGUUAUAAAGUAUUUGAUUGAGAUUAAAUUUGUAAGGACUAAUAUUGAAAAUAGUAAAUAGGUGAGGGAUUUUUGGCCAAAAACCCUACCAAAAAUGUAUAUGUAGAUUGACAUAAAGUCAUGCAUUACAACGUUUAAGGAGAUGCGAAAAACUUACAGUUUUCUCGGCCAAUACUUCUUGAAUAUCCUCAAAAUUUGUCAGAAAUUGACGUUUUCCAGGAUUACCCUUGGACUUUGCACGAUCAAUUUCUCUACCCAAUUUCUCUAGCAAAUUGUGCAUCUCUAUAUCUCCAUCCGGUGUAAUACGUAUGAGGGACUUCUCAACCAACAUUGUAAGCCCAACAUCAUCUUCAAGUAAUUCUUUGACGUUACUGACUUUAAAACCAUUGAAGAAACAUGCAAUGCACUUAAAUAACUCUCUAUUUUUUUUAUUUAACCUAUCGUAGCAGACUCUUAGUGUUUCCUCAAUUUUAUCAUCUGAGUCAUUUCGAAGCCUAGGCAUCAUCUUCACCCACUCAUCUUUGUCCCUUCCUUUUAGAGAUGAACCCAAGACACUGAGACCCAAAGGAAGACUACCAGCAAGCUCGGCAACUUCAAAUGCUAGUGCCUUAAAAUCAUCAGGUGGAGAGUCUUUCCCAAAAGCAUAUUGGGAUAUCAUCUGAAGAGCAAGACCUUGAGAUGGCAGCUUCACCUCAUAUACAAGGUCAAUCUCAUGAGCCUUGAGAAGUUGCCUAUCUUGAGUGAUCACAAUUAUUCUGCUUCCAGAUCCAAACCAUUCAGCUUUUCCCACUAAGGUCUUAAGAAACUCUAGAUUAUCCACAUCAUCAAGAAGGAUAAGAACUUUUUUGUGCUUUAAUCUUUGCUCCACCACACCAAAAUGAUCUAUCUUUAUGUCCUUUUGACCUAAGAUUUCCGAGAGAAGUUCUUUUUGCCAACUCAACUUCAUGCCAGAGACGUCACUACCGCUGGUGCUUUUGUAAGUUACGAAAGCGCGAAGGGGGAAUUGGCUAGAGAGUUGACUGAAAAGAGCUCUUCCUAUGGUACUCUUACCAAUCCCUGACUGUCCCCAAAUCCCGACCAUUAUUUUAGCUUCUUUGGAUUCCAAGCACAGUAUUGAUUUUAUUGCCUCUAUAUGAUCUUCAAUUCCGACUAAGUCACCAAAACCCUUUGGCGGAUGAAAAAGUUUAUUCGAAACAUCAUUGGCUAUCUUUUCAACCAUAUGCGCAUCAUUAGGCCUAAUAACAAUAGUCAAAUGUGUCAAUAAAGAGGCACCCUUAAAAGCACAUCCAAGUCUAUGCAAAAAAUAUUGUAUAGUUCUACGAUAAUUAUAAACACACACAUAAUUCAAAAAAAAACACACACAUAAAUAAUGGAAUCAAAACAACAUACCCGUUCCGAAGAUCCUCCCCGGCAAUAUUUGAUAUAUCUGUGAGAGCUUUAACCCAUCUUUGUUUCUGAUCUGCUGGUUUGUCCUCGCAUGUCUUUUUAAAGACCUUUCCAAAUUCACCGAUCUGUUUUCUAACAUGAGAAGGAUCAACGUCGUAGAAAACCGGUAUCACCUUUUGUCCAAAAUAUUUAGAGCAAUUGUCGAUUUCAACCAAUUCAUUCAAGCACCACGUGGAAGCAGCAUAGUUCUUAGAGAAGAUGACAAUUGAGAUCCUCGCUUCUCUAAUCGCCGAUAUAAGCGCAUCGGCGAUUAUGCAGCUUCUCUCGAUGACGUGAUCCAUGAAUGUAUUGAUUGAUCUGCGAUUGAGCUGCUUAAGAAGAUGGCUGAGGAAAUUCUUGCGAACAUCUUCCCCACUGAAGCUUGGAAAAAUGUCGCUGCCAGAAGAAGAAGCUGCCGCCAUGAAAGAUGAUGAGUUUGAGAUAGAAUAUCUUUAAAAGAAGUAAAUCAGCAAUACAUAAUGAUUAGUGUGCAGGAAGAGGAGAAAUCGUGCAUAGAAGACUUAUGCUGUGCGAAACGGAGUACCUUAUAUUCGCUGGGAAACGUGCUGUUAUGUACAAGAUUAGUAAUUUUUUAGUGGUUAAUAUCAAAUCUCCUAACAAGAGUAGGGUGACGACAGGCACAAUUAAGAUAAUAAAUAACUAGAUAACACAGAAACUUCGCCUUUCAUUCGUCGAAGAGUUGCAUAGAAGACUUAUUAUACAAGAUGUUUAUUUUACUGGUUAAAAUCAAAUCCCUUAACAAGAGAGUAUGGUGAGACACACCUAAUAUAUAAUAACAAUUUAACACAGAAACUUCGCCUUCCUUUUCUUGAAGAUUUGCAUAGAAGACUUUGUUCAAGAUAUAUUUUUUUAGAGGUUAAUUGAUAUCAAUUUUCCUAACAAAGUAUGAUGUAUUAAGACAUAAUAAUAACUUAAUAAGACAGAAACUUCGCCUUUCUUUCGUUGAAGACUCGCAUAGAAGACUUGCUAGUUGCUAUACAAGAUAUUUAUUUUACAGGUUAAAAUCAAAUCCCCUAACAAGAGACUAUAGUGAGAGACACAAUCAAGUUAUAACAAAUUAACACAGAAACUUCCUUCCUUUCCUUGCAGGCUUGCAUAGAAGACUUACUGUACAAGUUAUAUUUUUGUAGUGUAUGAUGACAGACACAAUAAUAAAUACAAAGAAACUUCGCCUGGCAUAGAAGACUUACUGUACUUCUAGUGGUUAAAAUAAAAUCGCCCUGAAAGAACUCAUAACUUUUUAGGCUACGUCAGCCGAGAAAAUUGCGACAGGAGAGGCGACUAGGGUUUUUUUCUUUUGCCGCACGCGAAGGGUUCCUAGCAGUCAGCCACCGAAUCUAUGUUCAGAAGGAGAAAGGGAAUUAUACAACGAUGUUCCAUCGCCAUGAAAUUUGCUUGAAGAAACUGAUAACAGUAGUAUCAUACUUAUAGAAGAAGACAUCUGGAAAGUUCCAAAUUUGGAGCCGUCAAGCUUGUGUUUGCUACUGUUUUACCACAGAGUAAGUUGGAAGGUUCUUCAUAUGUUCUUACCGUAAUCUGCAUAAUAAAAUCAAAUCUAUUAAAUUCCUUUGGUCUAUUUUGCAGGUGAUCCUGAAAAUGAAUCAAGAGUUAGAUAUGUAAUUUUCCGUUCAAUAAUUCAAAGCUUCACCCGCUUUAGCUUCUUGCUUCUCCCAUUGACUAUGUCACUUUCUCUAGAAUGUUGGUUGUUCUCAGUUUGAGCGCUCGUACCACUACCAUCCUCAGAUGGAGAGGCAUCUAAAUGCCGUACGCUGAAUUUUUUUAUCCUCUUAAACGACAAGUUUGCGUGUCGUGGUCAAGCCCAAAUUUGACACAAGAACAAGCAUUGCUAUGAUAUUCAAACUUGAAUUUCACAUCGUUGUAGUCCAAUUCAUAUGGAUAACCAAAGACUUCUUCUGAAGGGCAAAACUCAGAGCGGAACACAACCAUAAUGUACUAGGUAAGAUUUUUGAAUUAGAUUGUGCUACUUUGAAUUCCGAUGGUGUUUUUUGCAGCGUUCUAUUCUUCUAAUCAUUAUAUACUUUGUAAGAAAUAAGUAGUUUAUAAUCAAUUCUUUGCGAAAAAAUUAGUAUAGCAAGCAAAAUAAUUUACGUUACUAGAUUUCAAAUCCCAAUUUGAGCGGGAAGUCCAUCUAGUUUGAAGCUAAAAGGCUUUAUGACAAAUAUACUCUAACAAGCUUGCAGGCCAAGCAAAUCAUAUUAGAAGCAAAAGAAAGGUCGAGAAAAUAUCUUAGGAACAUCAUUAAUGAAUGAGUUUAAGGAGAAUGUUACCUGGAUUACUUCCCAUAACUUCUCAAGCUUGCUACCUGGCAUUGUAAGCUCUGCGACACAUUCUGCAUGACAUUUAGACGGUAAAUAUUUUAUUGGACAAUCAAUCCAAACGAGUUCAGUGAGACCAAAGAUAUUCCCAAUAAAGAAACAAUCUAUGUCUUCUCUGAUUGCAGUUUCGUUUAGAUGGAGCUCUGAAAUGUUCUUUGAAAUUCGAGGGAAACAUCUCAAACUUGAACAUCCCCUGAGAUCGAGGUGUACUCUAGAGAUUCCAAGUUAACGCCGGUUGGGAGAACUUUUAGAUUUUUGCAUCCUUGCAUUUCCAACCGCCUCAGUUUAUUGAGAUUCCGAAUUGAAGAAGGAAGCAUCACUAAACUUUUGCAAUCGUUAAGUUCCAAGUGGUCAAGAUUGAUGGCCGUUGAAAGAUCUGGAAAUUCUUUCAGGUUUUCACUUCCUGACAAAUCCUUCCUCACCAGACAGACUCCUUCCCACAACUUCUCAAGCUUGCUAUUCUCCAUUGUGAGUUUAAUCAAAAUUUCAGCCCUAAAAUUGAAACACAUACUCGUCAACGGAUAUUCAUCCCAAUAUAGCAAUCUGAGUUUUCGGGCCAAAUAAAUGAAUCCCUGAGGUAAACACAAUCUGCUUUCACCAGUCUCUAGCGAUCGACAACUCCUUGUAAAAUUUUAGAAAUGUGAGAUUACACAUUCCUUUGAAGAUUGUCCAUUUACAAACAAUCUAUUUCUGAGAUUACACUCAUCGAUUUCUGUUGUGUUGAAAGACAUGCCUAGCACAUUUUCAGUUCCUGAAAAAAAAACAUUAGUAUUUUACAACGGUCACAAUAAUCUAUUACGUUAUAGAUGACUCUCUUCGAUUCAUAUGGAGUAGUGUACUCAAACAUGAAAAUCAACUGACCCACCUUCCUUCUUAGUGGGUCCGCCACUGAUCAACAAGCAAGUUCUUGAUAUAAUCAACUUUUUGAUCAUUAAGUAAACACGCAAUGUAAAGGAAGACUUCUUCUUACUCCUUCAUUGUGCCUUCUCAGAACAGGUUUGGUUUCUGGUUCUUCACAGACUAGGAUUACCACAAUGUACUUUUGUUGAUUGGUCUACUGUCAUCACUUGGCUCCUGACCAAAUCCCCUUCCCUAUCAAAUGCUUUGAAACGCAUUUCUGCCCAAGCCACUAUCUACCUGCUCUGGCGAGAAAGGAACAAUCGCUUACACAAUGAUCUUUCCUCUUCGGUCUCUGUGAUCUUUGGUCAGAUUGAUAGGAAUAUAAAGGAUACUCUUCUUGCUCGUCAGUACAGGAAAGGUUGUGGGAGACUUCUAUCCCAAUGGUUUUCUUAUAGUUAACAUAUCUAUUCUAUUGAUCGAUGUUUCAAUCAUGGCUUUUUAAUUUUUUUUGGGCCUUUGAAACUGGCUGCCUUUUGGCAUUGUAAAUAACAUUUCCACUUUCCUUCUAAGGUAAUAUAUAUUCACAAGUUAUCAAAAAAAAAAAAAAAAGGGAAGACUUCUUUAUCUUUGUCAUCUAACUUAUCGUAGCUGACUCUUAAUGUUUUCUCAAAUUUUCCGUCUAGACCAUUUCGAACCCUAGGCAACAACUCCAUCCAUAGUCCUUGUCCUUUCCUCUUAAUGAAGAAACCAAAAGAUUGAGACAUAAAGGAAGAUUACCGAAAAGUUUUGCAACUUCACGAGUUAAAUUCACGAAACCAUCUGGUGGAGCGUUUUGCCCAAAAACACAUCGACAAAACAUUUGUAGAGCCAAAAUUAUAUUUCAGAUGGAAAAUUCAGUUCAUAAACAAGGUCAAUCUUAUGAGACUUGAAAAAGUUUUUUUUAUCUUUACUUAUCACAACAAUUCUGCUUCCAAUCCCAAACCAUCCAGUUUGUGCCACCAAGGUCUUUAAUAGCUCAAGAUCAUCAACAUCGUCAAUAAUUAUAAGAACUUUCUUGUGCUUUAACCUUUGUUCCACCGCACAUAAAUGCAAAACCUUUAUGUCCUUUUGACAUAAAAUUUCUGAUAAAACCUGUUCUUCUCGGUUGGUUUAUAAGUUACGAAAGCGCGAAGGGGGAAUUGGCUAGAGAGUUGACUGAAAAGAGCUCUUCCUAGGGUACUCUUACCAAUCCCUACCAUUCUAGCUUCUUCAGAUUCCAAGCACAACAAUGAACUCAAUCUCUCUAAAUGAGCUUCAACACCAACGAAAUCACCUAAAUCACUCGAUGGUGUUAUGAGCUUAUUCGGAACAUCGUUGGAAAUUGUUUCAAUCAUGUUUGCUUCAUUACACCUAAAAAUCAAUACUCAAAUGUCAGCAAUGAACACUACAAUCGGAGUCUUAAGCCUAAUCAAACAAAAAUUUGAAAAAAAAAAAUACCAGUUUCGAGAAUCCUCUCCAGCCAUAUUUGCCACAUCUGCUAGAGCUUUCCUACACCUUUGUUUCUCAUCAUCUGUUUUGUUCUUGCAUGUCUCUUCAAAGACCUUUCCAAAUUCUCCGGUCUGUUUCCUAACAUCAGAAUGAUCAACCUCGUAGAAAAUCGGAGUCACCAUUUGAUCCAAGUUUUUAAAGCACUUGUGGAUCUCAACCAAUUCAUUCAAGCACUAGGUGGAAGAAGCAUAUAUACUUGUUAGAGAAGACGACGAUUGAGAUCCUCGAUUCUCUUAUAGCCAAUAAAAGCUCUGGGCCGAUUGGGCGGCUUCUCUCGAUCUCAUGGUCGAUGUGUAUUGAUUGAUCUGCGAUCAAGCUUCUUAAGUAGAUGGAUGAUGAAUGAAUUACGGACAUCUUCAUCGCUGAAGCUCGGAAAAACGACGUAUCUCUUGCUGCGAGAAGAAGAAGAUACUCUAAACCUCGACAAUGACUAUACGACUGGGGAUGAGAUGGAUCUGGAUGAGGAGAAUGAAGAUGAAGAACAAGCAGGCCUAGAUUCACUUGCUAGUACAGCUAAUAACAAGGUGAAAGGUAGACGUAGACGUAAGCGUUUCAAAGUGCUUAAUAAUUAGAGAUAAUUUUAGUACCACAAGGAUAAUUUUAGUACCAUUGGAACUAAACUGGAAGAUCAUUAUGAGUGAUGUGCAAUGCAAAUACUGCAAUCAUACUUAUUGCUUAGACCUACGUAGAAGUGGUACAACUACUAUGUUGCGUCACAUGAGAGUUUGCUCAAAGACUCCUGGAAGUACACCUGCAACUGGAAUAAAAAGCUUGAUAUGAUGGUGUUUAGGGAGAUGAUUGGAUUAGAUUAGCAAUAAUUGAGCAUGAUUUGCCUUUUUCUUUUGUUGAGGACAAAAUAAUUAGAGAGACAUUUCUCUAUGCUAAUUCUAGCAUAUAAUUUUGGAGUAGGAACACCGCAACUUUUGAUUUCAAGUAUUGGACCGAGCUAAUGGACAUGGACAGUCCAUUUCGACAGCUCUAGCUUUGGAUGAGACUUGAUGGUUUGGAAUUGGAGUUGACUCCUUCACAAAGUUUUAAUAGUUCUUCCUUGCAUGACACGGAAAAGGCUAUCUCCUUUUUUCACCACCUGAAGGGUUGCUUCUUGUACUGGUCACAUGUUUGGCCGAGGUUAAGUCACACGCUAUUGAAUCAGCGAUCCAACACUUUUUUUUUUUUUUGUUGUUGUUGUUAAUUCUCUUGUGAAUUUGCAAUAUACAAUUUUGUUUACCCAAAUUCUAAUUUAUUCUUUGCUUUAAAACAAAAAAAAACUUUGCUCACAUACAUGUUAUCAUUAUCGUCGAGAUAUAUGUUUUUUUAAUAAAGACAAAGACUAUUUUGGGUAGUACCUGACCUGAGUCAAGUAUGUAAAACCCUAAGAUCACAAAUUCAAUGUCUUUUCGACUAAAACAGAUAAACAGUACGGUACAAUACAAAACAUCCCAAUGAUAUCUUUCCAGAAUAUAAUGUGCUAUGGCUUUUUGAAAGAUGUAUUUAUUCUUUUAGGAAAAGCAAAAUUCUCAAAGAAGCAAAGACAGAUAAGUAAGAACAGAGUGCUUCACUUUCAGCUAAAGAAGAAAUUACAAACAUUUUCAUCAGGCUCCGGAGUUGGAGACCUAAAUGGAUUCUAGACUUCUGGUUCUCCAAAAGCUCUCCGUUACCUGAAGAAAAGAUGGCUUGCGUUAAAGCUAUGUAAUCGUCUUGUCAUUAUCAGUAUAGUCAUGGUCAAUCCCAAGUUGAUCCUAAAACAGAACAAAACAGAACUGGAAGAUGUUUUGAUUACAUUAAAAAGUUGAUAAGCUCUGGGAACAACGAAGGAUCCGCGGUAGGUGUUUCUAUAUAUUGUUGUUCAGUUAUCAUUGGAUCAAUACACAAAACUUCUUCCUCUAGACAUGGUUGGGAAAGACACAACGAUGCUCCAUCAACAUGAACGUUGCUAGAAGAAACUGAUGAAAACCUGGGUGGAAGAACUCCCCUGCCAAUAACGAAAGCUCCAGAUUUGUAGCGGUCAAUUCUGUGUCCGCUUCUAUUUGGCCACUUGGUAAGUUGAUAUAUUCUUCAGAUGUUCCUAUUAUCAUCUGCAUUAUAAACCAAACUAUCUAUCCUACGAAACUGUUCAUCCUCCAAAAAAAUCAAGAGACAGCUAUGCAACUUUCAGAUCAAAACUGGCAAAAGGCUUACCCGCAUCCGCUUCUUGCUUCUCCCAGUCUCUACUACAACAUCAACUUUUUCUACAGACUAUUGGUUGUCCUCUUUUUCAGGAGAGACAUUCAAAAUUCGUACACCGCAUCCCUUUAUGCUCUCCUUGGGAAUAAACACAAAUUCCAAAUUGUUGUCUGAUUUAGAUGGAACGUCUAUAGGCGGGAACUUGAAGGAACCCAAAACCAUAUGAUCCGUAUUACACAACGUCAUCGUACCAUGAAAUACUGUCUCCCAAAUAUGUAGGAACUUCUCCACCUGGUAGGACCGUCUUGACGUAUGAUCGUAGGAUGAGUUCCUGCGCAUCUCCAUCCAAUUUGAAACAAUUAAGGAGAUAGAAAUAUUCUCUUCUCAUCAAGUCGGCCAUUUGAUGGCCGUGCUUGUUUAAAUUUACUGUCAAUGGUUUCUAGGAAAUGCGAAAGCGUUAAAGAAGCAACCACAAGGAUGUAAGAACAGAGUACUUCUGCCUUCAGCCUUCAGCUAAAGAAGAAAUUGCAAACAUUAUCAUGCUCUGGAGUUGGACUCUUUAACGGAUUCUGGUUUUUUUUAAGUAGUAACCCCUGCAGGAAAUUAUUGCUUUGAUAAGCCAAACUCCACUAAGAGCUUGAUGCGCUUGAUGAGCUUGAUGACCUGUCCAACAAGCAAGAAAAGAGUCAAUGUUGAGAGUUGAAAGUAUAUAUAGAGUCUCUAAUCUCUGAGAGGUUAUUCAAUUAGUGAAUUGGUGUGUUUGUUAAGACUCCUGCAUGAGUCUCUUGGGUUGAGGAUUCAGAGCCCGAAACUCUGCAAUUCUCUUCAUUGUGUGACAGAUUCUUUGAUAGAUCAAUAAAAGAUUGCUUGUUUAUUCUUGUCAAGCUUGUGUGAAAAACCUAUGAAAUCAUCUUUUCAUUAUCACUAUAGUCAUGGUCGAUCCCAAGUGAUCCUAUAACACAAAAAAAAAACAGAAUAGUAAGAUGUUUCAGUUACCAUAACUCCCACUCCCAAUCCACAUUAGCUAUAUGAAUUUGUGCAUCUUGUUGUUCAGUAAUCAUGGAAUCAACACACAAAGCUUCCCCCUCCAGCCAUGGAUUAAAAGAAACUGAUGAUGAUUCUCCCCACCCUAACGGAACAGUGUCUGUUACUAUUUGGCCACAGGGUAAGUUGAAAUAUUUUUCAGAGUUUCCUAAUGUCAUCUGUAUAAUAAACCAAAAGAUGGAUUCUUUUAGAUAGUUCAUCCCUGAAAAAAAACAAUCAAGAGAUAGCUUUAAUAGUUUUCAGUUCAAAAUAAUGGCAAAAGGCUUACCCGCAUCCGCUUCUUGCUACUUUCAGUCUCUACAUCAUCACAUUUUUCUCCAGACUGUUGGUGGUACUCUGUUACAGAGUCUCCAUCACUAUCAUCCGGAGAUUCUGUUUCAGAGCUUCCCUCACUAUCAUCCGGAGAUGUAGACACAUUCAAGAGUCGUAUGCCGCAUCUUUUUACUCUCGUCCCGUUAAACUUAAAUUCCACAUCAUUGACGUCUAAUUUAGAUAGAAGACCUGUAGGCUGGAACUUGAAGGAACACAAAACUAGAUGAUCCGUCUUACACAUCAUUUCCAUGCCCUCAUAUAUUGUAUGUCUAUAAUGUUCGCCAUUGAACUGAAAGAGUACGUCCAUGCAUGCAAAAGAAUGGGUUAUAGGUUCAACCACGAGACAAGCAUUAAAUCGCAAGAAUUUAUGAGAAAGAGAGCUCUGAGGCAAAGUGACAGUUAGGGAAUUUCCAUAAGCUUGAUGCUUAAAAUAUGUAGGCACUUCUCCACCUGGUAAGACCAUAGUCGUCUUGAAGCAUGAUCCUAGGAUAAGUUCUCGCGCAGCUCUAUCCAAUUUGAAGCAAUUCUGGAAUUUAAAAUAUAUUUCUCCAUACUCAUCCUCGUCAUCCUCAUCCUCGUCAUACUCAUACUCAUACUCAUCCUCGUCAUCCUCAUCCUUGUCACAUUUAGGUCUCUUUUCGACCUUAUUUAUCUUUUCAUUGUUUUGAUCUUCCAUUGUUGUCACCGGAUCACUCAACGCUGUGAUGACACCUCCACAGUCUGUAAAGUCGACCUUCAUAAGCCUUGUCAGUCUGAAAAUGUUCGGGGAUAUGUUUUUCAACAUUUUGCAACCACUCAUAUUUAGUACCUUGAGCCUCGAAAAUUUCUCAAUGAAGCAGGGAACUUGUUCAAUGGCGGUGUCAGCUAGAUUGAGUUCUUGAAUACUAGUUGAAAUCUGAGGAAAUCUUCUCAACGACUUGCAACCACGCAUCGAUAAUUCCAUGAGCCUCGAGAAAUUCUCAAAACAUGGAACUUCUUCAAUGGCAGUGUCAUCUAGAUUGAGUACUGCAAUACUUUUUGAAAUCUGAGGGAUAAAUCUCAAACUUGAGCACCCUUUGAGAUGGACUGUAUGGAGAGAUGACAAGUUGAUAUCCAUAGGAAGAACCUUCAGCCCUGUGCAUUCUUCCAUAUUUAACGUGUAUAAUUUUUGGAGAUUCCCAAUUGUAGAAGGUAACAUCACCAAACUUUUGCAAUUUGAGAGAUCCAAAAUCUCCAGAUUGGUGGCCUUUGAAAGGUCUGGAAUUUCUAUCAUGUUUUCACAUUCUGACAGAUCCACCCUCUUGAGUUUCCCAAGCGACUGAAACAGAGUAAAACAUUGUUAUGCUUUUCUUUUUUCUGAAUGUAAAACGUUGUUAUGCUUUAAUCAUUGUCAAUACUAUAUCUGUUUAGUGUUAUAAUCAAGAACAAGACAUAAUUUUGUAUAUAAUACACGUAUAAAUCGUACCUGGACGCCUUCCCAUAGCUUCUCAAGCAUGUUGUUGCCUCUCACUGUGAGGUUUUUGAGAUGUUCUGGGCGAAAUUUACUUGGAUUACAUCUCCUAAGGCAAUCGAGAUAAUCGAGUCCAGGGAGAUUCUUGUUCCAUAAACAAUCUGCUACCUCGAUCUCAAUUUCAUCUGUAAAGAUGAAACUUUGCAUUAUAAUCUCAGGGAAAUUUCUCAACCGGGGGCAUAGUAGGAGAUUGAGGAACUUAAGAGAUUCCGAGUUGAGAGGACUUGGAAAACUUUCUAGCACUUCGCAGUUACAAAGAUCUAAUUCCUCGAGGUUUGUGGCUAAAGAAAGAUCUGGAAUUUCUUUCAAAUUGUUGGAAUUCCUCAAAUUCAUCUUCUUGAGACUUCCAAGAGGCUGAAAACAACAUAUGGAAAAAGAGAAUAACACAGAUUUAUUUAGAUUGUUUAACAAAUAAAUUAAUAAAAAUAACACAGUUCUGUUUUCAAAUAGACAACUCGAAACAAUAAAGAAUUAGUACCUGAGUUCCAUUCCACAGCUUCUCAAGGGCACUAUUCUCCAUUCUGAGUUCAACCAGAUACUCAGCCUUAAAAUUAGAAGGCAAACGCUUCAAUGGACAAUUUUCCCACCGUAGCCAUUUGAGUUUACGUGGCAAGUAAACGAGGCCGUUAGGUAGACGCAAUCUGGUUUCUCUCGGUUGCCACCAGUAAUGAUCAUGAAUAUUUAGAAAUUGGAGAUUAAGCAUGCCUUGGAACGAGUUUUCAUCUAUUGAAAUAAAUGGCUUAUCGAUUUGUGAAUCUGAUGACGUGCUGAAAUCUAUUCCGAGCAAUUUUUCAGUGCCCUGACAAAAAAAAAAAACCCAAAGAAAACUGUUAUCCUCAAGUACCAAACUAAAUCAAUGUUUUUAACAUCAAAAGCCAAUCGUUGAAUUAAUAUAAAGUGGUGCAUUAAGCUGCAAAAACUUACGGUAUUAUCGGUAAAUACGUCUAGAAUUUCCUCAGCAUUCUCCAGAAAUCGACGUUUUCCAGGAUUACCAUUAGACUCUUCACGAUCAAUUUCUGUAGCCAACUUCUGAAGCAAAUUGUGCAUCUCUAUAGUAUCAUUCGGUGUUAAACGUAUGAGGGACUUAUCAUCCAACGUUUUGAGCCUAAUGUUAACAUUAACACCAUCUCCGAGGAAGUCUUUGAUGGAUUUGACUUUCCAACCAUUGAAUAACCAUGCAAUGUAAUGGAAUAUAUCUUGAUCUUUUGGAUCUAAUCUAACGUAGCUGACUCUUAAUGUUUUCAUAAUAUCUCUGUUCAAACCAUUUUGGAGCUCAGCCAGCAUCUCCAUCCACUCUUCUUUGCUCCUUCGUUUUAAAGACGAACCAAGGACACUGAGACCCAAAGGAAGAUUACCGGCAAGCUUUGCAACUUCAAAUGCUAGUUCCUUAAAAUCAUCAGGUGGAGAGUAUUUCCCAAAAGCAUAUUGGCAUAUCAUCUUAAGAGCAAGACCUUGAGAUGGGAGCUUCACCUCAUAUAUAAGGUCAAUCUCAUGAGCCUUGAGAAGUUGCCUAUCUUGAGUGAUCACAAUUAUUCUGCUUCCAGAUCCAAACCAUUCAGCUUUUCCCACCAAGGUCCUAAGAAACUCUAGAUUAUCCACAUCAUCAAGAAGGAUAAGAACUUUCUUGUGCUUCAACCUUUGCUCCACCACACCAAAAUGCUCUAUCUUUAUGUCCUUUUGACCUAAGAUUUCCGAGAGAAGUUCUUUUUCCCAACUCAACUUCAUGCCAGAGACGUCACUACCACUGGUGCUUUUAUAAGUUAUGAAAGCGCGAUGGUGGAACUGGCUAGAGAGUUGACUGAAAAGAGCUCUUCCUAUAGUACUCUUACCAAUCCCUGACUGUCCCCAAAUCCCGACCAUUAUUCUAGCUUCCUUGGAUUCCAAGCACAGUUUUAAUUUUAUUGCCUCUAUAUGAUCCUCAAUUCCGACUAAGUCACCAAAACCCUUUGGCAGAGGAAAAAGUUUAUUCGAAACAUCAUUAGCUAUCUUUACAACCAUGGCUGCUUCACUAGGCCUAAUAACAAUAGUCAAAAUUGUGUCAAUAAAGAGGCACCCCUAAAAGCACAAUCGAAGAUUCGAAGUGAACGCCAAGAAAAGAAAAAAAAAAGUACAGUUUUGCAAUAAUUAUAAACACUCAUAGAAAUAGUGGAAUAAAUAAAACAUACCCGUUCCGAAGAUCCUCCCCGGCUAAAUUUGAUAUAUCUGUGAGAGCUUUAACCCAUCUUUGUUUCUGAUCCUCUGGUUUGUCCUCGCAUGUCUUUUUAAAGACAUCGCCAAAGCCACCGAUCUGUUUUCUAACAUGAGAAGGAUCAACGCCGUAGAAAACCGGAAUCACCAUUUGAUCCAAGUCUUUGUCCUUGUGACACUUGUGGAUCUCCACCAAUUCAUUCAAGCACCACGUGGAAGAAGCAUAGUUCUCAGAGAAGAUAACUAUUGAGAUCCUCGCUUCUCUAAUGGCCGUUAUAAGCUCAUCGGCGAUUAUGCAGCUUCUCACGAUGCCGUGAUCCAUGAAUGUAUUGAUUGAUCUGCGGUCGAGCGCCUCGAUUAGAUGGCUGAGGAACGUUUUGCGAACAUCUACCCCACUGAAGCUUGGGAAAACGUCGUAUCUCCGGCUACUAGGAGAAGAAGAAGAAGAAGAAGAAGAUGAGCUCAGGGUCGUGGUGGAGGUCGGUGGUUGUGGCCAGUGGGUGGGAAGGGUGGAAGCUAGUUUGUAUGUAUGGGGCUGAGGUGGUGCUGAGUUAUGUUGUAAUCACUGUUUUUUACUCUGAGUGUAGGAAACGCCAUGGUAGCAGUGAUGCAAUUGUUGCUGAUGAGGUUGCUAUUUAAAACUUUUUUGUUGUUGAUAGUUCUCUUGUGAAAUUGUGAAAUACAUUUUUGUUUACCAAGAUUAUGAUUUAUUCAUUGCUUUAAAGAGAGGAAAAUAACAUUUCGUAGAGAGAGAUAUGUGUUUCAACAGACAAGACUGUUAUAUUCACAUCUUUCAGGAGAAGCGAAAUUUUCAAAGAAGCAAAACAGAGAAGUAAGAAUAGAGUACUUCUGUUCUGGACAUGGAACCAUAAAAGGUUUCUAGCUGUCAGUAAGUGUUCCAUCAUCUGCAGGAGAAAAUGGCUUGUGUGAAAAACUAAGAAAUCGUCUUGUCAUUACCAGUAUAGUCAUGGUCGAUCCCAUGUUCAUUAUGAAACAGAGUUGUAAUACGUUUCAGGUCACCUUAACAAUGUGAUAAGCUGUGGAGACGGCUAAGGAUCCAGGAAAGGAAUCUUAACAAUGUGAUGGUGUGAAUUCAGUCAAGGCAGAUCUUAACUGAUCAGGGUCAGCAGUGAAAGGUGUCGUCCCCAUCAGACCAAACGUCUAUCAUCUUAGGCCCUCGAUGCAAAGAUCUGAAGCAAACCAAUUCAGUCAAGAACAGCCCCAGAGAAUGAGCUUCCUAUCCUAGAUGUUCUAGUGAGUAGUUCAGGCCUACAACUUUCACUCUUUAUCAUAUAAUUAAAGAGUGCAGCGGGAUGGGGGAACAGCAGCGACAUGUUUUCUCAUCGACGUAGGAUAGCUGGAUGAUACUUCAUGGUUUGGAAGUGGACCAGACAAUGUCUCCUGCAGAAAGUUUAAAAGCUCUUUCCUUCAGCUGAUGGAUUGUUCCUUAUGCUGGUCACAUCUUUGGCCAAAGUUAGGCCAAAAACGCUUCUGCCUUUUGGCUAUUGAAUCAGCAAUGCAAAUGUUGUUGAUGACAAGGAUCUUGCUAUUUAAAAUUAGUUCCAACACACUCUUGUUGUCAAUUCUUUUGUGAAUUUGCGAUAUACAUUUUUGUUUACGCAAAGUCUGAUUUCUCUAUUCAUUGCUAAUAAAGAGAAAAACAACCUGUGCUAAUAUACACAUUGAGAUCUAUGUUUCAAAGAAAAGGCAGACAAAAUGUUCAAAGCAAACAGAGUGUUUCUGCAUUCAGAUAAAGAAGAAAUUACAAACACUUUCAGGCUCCGGAGUUGGAUGAUUAAACGGAAUUUGGUUCUCCAAAUAUCAUUCUGCAGAAUAAAAUGAUCUCCAUGUACCAUCUAUCAAUAAAAAAUGGCUUGUGUCAAAACCUAUGAAAUCGUCUUGUUAUCAUUAUAGAUAUAUAAUCAUGGUCGAUCCCAAGUUAUCCUAAAACAGACCAAAACAGAAUGAUAAGAUGCUUCAGUUACCAGAAACAGGAUCCAAGAAAGGAAUGUCUUCAUCUUGUUCUUUAGUUAUCAUAUAAUCAACAGACAAAGCUUCCCCCUCUAGAGAUGUUGAUGAUGAUGCUUCUCCCUCCCCUAACGAAAGCUCCAUAUUUAGAGCGGCCAAUCCUGUGUCUGCUACAAUUUGGUCACCGGCUAAGUUGAUAUAUUCUUCAGAUGUUCCCGAUGUCAUCUGCAUUAUAAAUCAAACGAUCGAUUCUAUUAAAUAGUCUGUCUCUAUGGUAUUUCGAUCCUGGAAAAUCAAAUCAAAAGUCAAAAUAUAGCUUUAUAAUUUUCAGCUCUAAUCAAAAGUCAAAAGAUACCCGCAUCCGCUUCUUGCUUCUCGUAGUCUGUUGGUUGUACUCUGUUUCUUGAGAGACAUACAUGAGUCGUACACCGCAUUCUUUGAUCCUAUUGGAGCAACAAAACUUAAACUCCACAUCGUUGAAAGUCAUUUCAGACUCGAACUUGAAGGAACAGAAAAACAGAUGAUCCGUCUUACAAAACUCCAGUUCUUCAUCUUCCAAAAAUGAUUUCUGAUACUGUUUGCCAUUGAAGCCAAAGUUUACCUCCAAAUAUCGAUAAAAACCCUUGCCCUCGGAGAGAGGGUCAACCACGAGACAAGCCUUAAAUCGCAAGAAGGAUUGAGAAAGAGAGCUCCGAGGUAAAGUGACAGUUAGGGAAUCUCCAUAAGCUCGAUACGUGAAAUACUUAGGGAUUUCUCCACCUGGUAAGGCCACAGGCUUGAAGCAUGAUCGUAGGAUGAGCUCUCGCGCAUCUCUAUCCAAUUUGAAGCAAUUACGGAAGCUAAAAUAUUCAGUACCUAAGUCCCAAUCACCAUCACCAUACAACUCACCCCAGAAACGUUCACAUGUAUAUUCAAUGUUUUCAGAUAAUGGUACACAAGAAACGCUAUCUUCCAUUGUCGCUACCACAGUUGCAUCACUCAACGCCUUGAUGACACCUCUACAGUCUGUAAAGUCGGCGAACAUUAGACUUCUCAGUCUGAAAAUGUUUGGGGAGAUGUUUUUCAACCUCUGGCAACAAUACAUCAGUAGUACACGGAGCCUCGUGAAAUCCUCAAUGCAGCAGGGAACUUCUCCAAUGGCGGUGUUUUCCAGAUAGAGCCAUACAAUAUUAGUUGAAAUCAGAGGAAAAGUUCUCAAACUUGAGCAACCACUGAGAUCGAGGAUACCCAGAGAUGACAAGUUGACAUCGGUUGGAAGAACCUCCAGCCCUGUGCAUCUUUUCAUGUACAAACGUCUCAAAUUUUGAAGAUUCCCAAUUGUAGAAGGAAGUGUCACCAAACUUUUGCAGUUGUUGAGUAUCAAAGACUCGAGCUUGGUGGCCUUUGAAAGAUCUAGAAUUUCUUCAAUGGCGGUGUUUUCCAGAUAGAGCCAUUUGAUACUCUUUGAAAUCAGAGGAAAAGUUCUCAAACUUGAGCAACCACUGAGAUCGAGGGUUUCGAGAGAUGACAAGUUGACAUCGGUUGGAAGAACCUCCAGCCCUGUGCAUUCUUUCAUUUCCAACCUCACCAAUUUUUGGAGAUUCCCAAUAGUAGAAGGAAGUGUCACCAAACUUUUGCAGUUGUUGAGAUAUAAAUGCUUCAGAUUGGUGGCCUUUGAAAGAUCUGGAAUUUCUGUCAGGUUUUCAGAUUCUGACAGAUCCAUCUCUUCGAGACUUCCAAGCGACUGAAAAAAACAUUAUCGAUGAUAAUCAUUUUAAUUUUAUACCUAUAUAUGUUUAAAAUUAUAAUUAAACAUUAUUACGUAUGUAUGUAAGACAUAACCGUGGAUCGACCACAAGCCAUAAAAACAAAUUUGGGUAUACUUAAUUAGUUAUAUAACAGAAGGUAAACAAAAAUCAGCAUAGCAUUAACAAUGUACCUGGAUGCCUUCCCAUAGCUUCUCAUGCUUGUAGCACCUCACAUUGAGAAAAACGAGAUAUUCUGGGCGAAAUUCACAAGGCAUACAUCUCAUAAGGCAGUCGAGAUAAUCUAGUCCAGCAGGGAGAUUCUUGUUCCAGAAACAAUCUUCUACCACGAUCUCAUUUCUCCCUUCCGGAAAGUCAACGUCUGAACAUCCCAUUUUGAUUGCUGGGAAAUUUCUCAAAUUCGGGCAUCCAGUGAGAUUGAGGUACUCGAGAGAUUCCAAGUUGAGAUCGGUUGGAAAACUCUCUAGCUUUUUGCAAUCACUAAUAUCUAAAUAGAUAAGUUUAAUGGCAUUCUGCAUCGAGGAAGGAAAUGUCACCAAGGAUUCGCAUUUACAAAUAUCUACUUCCUCGAGGUUUAUGGCUAAAGAAAGAUCUGGAAUCUCUUUCAAAUAUUUGGAACCACGCAGAAACAUCUGCUUGAGUCUUCCAAGUGGCUAAUAACAAAAUAGGGGAAAAGAGAGUACACACGUUAGUGAACAUUUUAAACAGAUUCAUUUUAGUUUUUCUAACAGAUUUAUGUUUAGAAAUUGAUCACUAAUAGAAUUAGUACCUGAGUUCCAUCCCACAGCUUCUCAAGGUCACUAUUCUCCAUUCUGAGUUUAACCAGAUACUCAACCUUAAAAUUAGAAUGCAAACGCUUCAAUGGACAAUUAUUCCACAAUAGCAAUCUGAGUUUACUAGGGAAAUAAACGAUGCCCUGAGUGCCUUCCACACGUGAGCAAUCAACUGAUAGAUAUUCGAGAUUACACAUGCCUUCUAAUGAUUUUAAAUCUAUUAAUAUCACCCCCGAACAAUGUAACUUCCUCAGUUUAAUGGCAUUCUGAAUCGAGGAAGGAAGUGUCACCAAAGAUUCGCAUCCUUCAAGAUCUAAUUCCUCGAGGUUUCUGGCAUUAGAAAGAUCUGGAAUUUCUUUCAAAUUUUUGGAACACAACAAAUUCAUCUUCUUGAGACUUCCAAGGGGCUGAAAACAAAAUAUGGAAAAAGAGAAUACACACGUUCACAAAUAUACCACAAUUUUCUGUUCUAAAAACUGACAACUAAUAAAAAUUUAGAAUUCGUACCAGAGUUCCUUCCCACAGUUUCUCAAGCUUACUAUACUUCAUUAUGAGGUUAACUAGAUAUUCCGCCUUAAAAGUAGAUGGCAAAGACUUCAAUGGACAAUCAUCCCAGUCUAGCAAUCUGAGUUUAAGGGGCAAAUAAACGAGGCUCUGAGGUUGACCCCCAUCUGACCAAUCACCAAUUUUUAGAUAUUGGAGAUUACGCAUGCCUUUGAACGAUUCUUUAUCUAUUAAUAACGGCCUUGUCGAAAAAUAUUCCUCGAAUGGCAAACGUAUUCCAAGAAGAGUUUCUGUCCCCUGAAAAAAAAUCCGAAGAAAACUAAUAUAAUCUUAACAAUCACAACCCUUUUUAUUUUUCUGACACAUCAAAGCUACAUUUUAAUUACGAAUGAGGCAACAAUUGCUUAAGUUUAUCAAUCCCCAAAUGACGAUUAAAUUAAUAUAAAGUCAUGCAUUAAAACGGAGCUGCGAAAAAAACUUACAGUUUUCUCGGUCACUACUUCAUGAAUAUCCUCAAAAUUCGUCAGAAAUUGACGUUUUCCAGGAUUACCCUUGGACUUUGCACGAUCAAUUUCUCUACCCAAUUUCUCUAGCAAAUUGUGCAUCUCUAUAUGUCCAUCCGGUGUAAUACGUAUGAGGGACUUCUCAGACAACAUUGUAAGCCCAACAUUAUCUUCAAGUAAAUCUUUGACGUAACUGACCUCAAAACCAUUGAAUAAACACGCAAUGCAAAGGAACAUAUCUUGAUCUUUUUGAUGUAAUCUAUCGUAGCUGACUCUUAAUGUUUUCAUAAUAUCUCCGUUCAAACCAUUUCGGAGCCUAGGCAUCAUCUCCAUCCACUCUUUUUUGCCCCUUCUUCUUAAUGACGAACCCAGGACAUUGAGACCCAAAGGAAGAUGGCCGGCAAGCUUCGCAACUUCAAAUGCUAGUUCCUUAAAAUCAUCAGGUGGAGAGUCUUUCCCAAAAGCAGAUCGGCAUAACAUCGUAAGAGCAAGACCUUGAGAUGGCAGCUUCACCUCAUAUACAAGGUCAAUGUCAUGAGCCUUGAGAAAUUGCCUAUCUUGAGUGAUCACAAUAAUUCUGCUUCCCGAUCCAAACCAUUCAGCUUUUCCCACCAAGGUCUUAAGAAACUCUAGAUUAUCCACAUCAUCAAGAAGGAUAAGAACUUUCUUGUGCUUCAACCUUUGCUCCACCACACCAAAAUGCUCUAUCUUUAUGUCCUUUUGACCUAAGAUUUCAGAGAGAAGUUCUUUUUCCCAACUCAACUUCAUGCCAGAGACGUCACUACCACUGGUGCUUUUAUAAGUUAGGAAAGCGCGAAGGGGGAAUUGGAUAGAGAGUUGACUGAAAAGAGCUCUUCCUAUGGUACUCUUACCAAUCCCUGAUUGUCCCCAAAUCCCGACCAUUCUAGCUUCCUUGGAUUCCAAGCACAAUACUGAUUUUAUUGCCUCAAUAUGAGCUUCAAUUCCGACGAAGUCAUCAAAACACUUUGACCGAGUGAUAAGUUUAUUCGAAACAUCAUUGGAUAUCUUUUCAACCAUAUGCGCUUCAUUAGGCCUAAUAACAAAAGUCAAUUUUGUCAAUUAAGAAGCACCCCUAAAAGAAGAACCGAAGUCUAUGCAAAAAUAUAGUUCUGAGACAAUUGAAAACGCAAGCAGAUAUAUUGGAAUCAUAACAACGUACCCGUUCAGAAGAUCCUCUCCGGCUAUAUUUGCUAUAUCUGUGAGAGCUUGCACCCAUCUUUGUUUCUGAUCCCCUGGUUGUUUGUCCUUGCUGACCUCGCAUGUCUUUUCAAAGACCUUUCCAAAUUCGCCGGUCUGUUUUCUAACUUCCGAAGGAUCAACGUCGUAGAAAACUGGAAUCACCAUUUGACCUAAAUCAUUAAAGCACUUGUGGAUCUCAACCAAUUCAUUUAAGCACCACGUUGAAGAAGCAUAGUUCUUAGAGAAGAUGACGAUUGAGAUCCUAGCUUCUCUAAUCGCCGAUAUAAGCUCAGGGGCGAUUGUGCGGCUUCUCUCGAUUCCAUGAUCGAUGAAUGUAUUGAUUGAUUUGCCGUCGAGCGCCUCGAUUAGAUGGCUGAGGAACGUCUUGCGAACAUCAACCCCACUGAAGCUUGGAAAAACGUCGUAUCUCCGUCUGCCAGAAGAAGAAGAAGCCGCCAUGGGAGAUGAUAGAGAGAACUCAGAGAAGAGACGAAGAUUUUUAAGAGAAGUAAAUCAGCAAGACAUAGUGUGAGAAAGAGAGGAGAAACUUCGUCUUCCUUCCCUCCAAGACUUGCAUAGAAGACUUACUGUACAAGAUAUUCUUUUAAGUGGCUAAAAUCAAAUCUCCUAACAAGACAAUUGAGACGUAAAUAAUAAAGAAACUCGGCCCUUCCUUUCCUCGAAAGCUUUUUUACACUACAUACAAAGAUAUUUUUGAAGAUUGAAUUUUUGUGGUUGUCACUGAAUUAUGAUAAGUCUUAGUCUUUGUACAAGACAGAAAUAAUAUUUCAAUUUCUAGGCAAGUAGACAGAAACUUACAUUCGUUUCCUCUACAAAGAUAUUUUGAAAACACAAAUUUUGUGGUUAUCAGUUGUCCUUGUACAAGACAGUUUAUCGUAAGAAUGUUAUGAUUGUUUAAUAUCUAAGUCUUGUUUCCCUAUACAUACAUGCACACGGUUUAGGAGAAUAAGUAUAUCGAUUAUGAGGAUUUUAAUUCAAAUAAUACAGUGAAAAUACUAAUUAACACUAACUCUCUAGUUUGCUAAAUUACUCUUUUAGUUUUCAAGAAUUGUAUUAUUAGUUUAAAGUUUGGCUUAGUGCGUCAGCCACCACUGUAGUUUUAAGGAGCAUUUGGUUUCUAAGGGUUUCAUGUACUGGAUGGAAGAACUCGUGUCUGAGAACAUCCUCUGCGCUGUUUCGUUGCCUUGGGUUAACGGUCAAACAUCUAUCCACGAAGUCAAGGAGCGGCCGUGGAAUUGCGUCUAGAAACUCUCUGCGUUUGUGUUGAGUUCACACCAUUUUCUCAACUCCAGCCCCUUGAAGUACCUUGACUCGUACAAUUCCUGAAACAACAACACAAAACUCUACGUGAAUUCAUCUCACACGAUCAUCUAUCUAAUCAUUUUGUCACUAAUUUACAUUUUAAAGAUAUAUAAUGCUAACGAUGAAAACCCUUUUGUGAUAUUUGAAUCCAUAUGCUGGUGGCAAAGAAGAACAGAGCAUGUAUGUUAUAUUCAAACCAAUGCAGCAAUCAAAUAAAUGGAGAGUUUUAUCAGGGAGGUAAGAUGAGAUGUAACCUCAGGGAAAGAGGAUUCACGGUUGUGCAGCUUGGCUACUUCCCAUAAUUCUUCACUGCCUCGUAGUUGCGCAAUGCCCUUUAUGUUCCUGGGAAUGACAAGGUCGUUGUAAGACGGCAAGAAAGAAAAAAGAGUGGAAUCGACUGAUGGUGUAUUAUUUUUUUUUUCUAUUAUUAGGUAAUUGGUACAAUAUCUGAAGCAAACCUGCACAAACCAAUUCAGCUAAAAUAAGCACCAGAGAAAUUAGCUUUCACAUCCUAAAUGUGAUAAUGACUAGUUCACUCCUACAAUUGUAGUCUCAGCUCUCAAUGCACAAGUUUAUUAUAUAUGGAAUUAAUUACUAACAUACACAUUGAGAUGUAUCUGUGUUUUUAGAAAAGUCAGGACUAAUUUAAAAACAUUAACUAAUUCAAUGUCUUUUAAACUUAUCCAUAGAUGUAAGGAAACAUACAAAAUCUGUCAAAAAUACUUUUCCAGAAUGAGCUAAAUUGUGGCUUUCAAAACAUGUAUUUAUACGAAAGCCUUAGAGAAGUAGAUACAAAGAUGUAAGAACAGAGUACCAUGCUCUAGAGUUGGAGACUUAAAAAGGCACCAGCGACGAAGAGCUUGAUGAGCCUGAUGAGCCUGAUGACCUAUAAAAGAAGAAAGAACAGAGUCAAAGAGUCAACAUUAUAACUAAAUAUUGAGUCUUUAAAGUAUAUAUAUAUAGAGAGAGAGUCUCUAAUUCUGUGAGAGAUUGAUUAUCCAAUCAGUGAAUUGGUGUGUUUCAGAGCCUGAAACUCUGCAGUUCUCUUCAUUAUAAUUCAGGUUAUUUGAUAGAUCAAUAAAGAUUGCUUGUCUUGUUAUGCUGCAACAAAACAAAACAGAAUAGUAAGAUGUUUCAGUUACCAUGAUGCCUCAGAAUCUUCGUCCCUAUGCGCGAUGGGAAUUUCUUUAGCUUGUCGCUUAGUUAUCAUGGAAUCAACAGAGAAAGCUUCACCCUCCAGACAUGGAUAUGAAAUUGAUGACGAUUCUCCCCGCCCUAAUGGAAGCUCCAGAUUUGGAGCGGUCAAUCCUGUGUCUGUUACUGUUUGGCCACAGGGUAAGUUGAAAUCUUCUUCAGAGUUUCCUAAUGUCAUCUGUAUAAUAAACCAAACUAUCGAUUCUUUUAGAUAGUGGCCUUCCUGAAAUAUUAAAAAGAAAAUCGAGAGAUAGCUUUAAUAGUUUUCAGUUCAAAUUAUGGCAAAAGACUUACCCGCAUCCGCUUCUUGCUACUACUCUCAGUCUCUACAGCAUCACAUUUUUCUCCAGACUGUUGGUUGUACUCUGCUUUAGAGCUUCCAUCACUAUCAUCCGGAUAUGGAGACACAUGCAGGAGUUGUACGCCGCAUCCUUUGAUCCUCCUCCCUUUAAACUUGAAUUCCACAUUAUCCAAGACCUUUACCUUUGGAUAUAGAGUAUUUUUAAACUGCCGGAACUUGAAGGAACACAAAACCAGAUGAUCCGUCUUACACAUCAGUGUCAUAUCAGUAGCUAUUGUAUGGAUAUAAUGUUCGCCUUUGUAUUGGAAGUAUACAUACACACUCCCAUAAGAAUCGGUUUGAGGUUCAACCACUACACAAGCAUUGAAUCGCAAAAAUUUGUGAGAGAGAGAUCUCCGAGGUAAAGUGAUAUUUACGGAAUUUCCAUAUGCUCGAUGCUUGAAAUAUGCAGGCACUUCUCCACCUGGUAAAACCAUAGUCUUCUUGAAGCAUGAACGUAGGAUGAGUUCUCGUGCAUCUCUAUCCAAUUUGAAGCAAUUCUGGAAGUUAAAAUAGUUUCUUCCAUACCAAUAAUUAUCUUCAUCCUCAUCCUCCUCCUCAUCAUCCUCCUCCUCAUCCUCGUCCUCAUCCUCAUCAUCGUCAUCGUCAUCUUCAUCCUCCUCAUCCUCAUCCUCAUCCUCAUCCUCGACAUCGGUAUUCUCGUUAUACUCAUCCUCAUCCUCAUUCUUGUCAUAACUCAUCCUCAUUCUCGUCAUCCUCAUUAUAGUCAUCCUCAACAUCAUCGUCUCGUGUACGCAUCUUUUCAAUCUUUUCAUAGUGAUCAUCCAUUGUUGCCACCACAGUGGAAUCACUCAACGCCGAAAUGACACCUCCACAGUCUGUAAAGUCGACCUUCUUAAGCCAAGUCAGUCUGAAAAUGUUCGGGGAGAUGUUUUUCAACUUUUUGCAACCACUCAUAUUUAGUAUCUUGAGCUUCGAAAAAUUCUCAAUGAAGCAAGGAACUUGUUCAAUGGCGGUGUCAGCUAGAUUGAGUUCUUGAAUACUAGUUGAAAUCUGAGGAAAUCUUCUCAACGACUUGCAACCACGCAUCGAUAAUACAAUGAGCCUCGAGAAAUUCUCAAAACAUGGAACUUCUUCAAUGGCAGUGUCAUCUAGAUUGAGUACAGCAAUACUUUUUGAAAUUUGAGGGAAAAAUCUCAAACUUGAGCACCCUUUGAGAUUGACUGUAUGGAGAGAUGACAAGUUGACAUCCAUAGGAAGAACCUUCAGCCCUGUGCAUUCUUUCAUUUCUAACGUGUAUAGUUUUUGGUGAUUCCCAAUUGUAGAAGGUAACGUCACCAAACUUUUGCAAUUUGAGAGGUUCAAAUUCACCAGAUUGGUGGCCUUUGAAAGAUCUGGAAUUUCUAUCAGGUUUUCACAUUCUGACAGAUCCAUCCUCUCAAGUUUCCCAAGGGACUGAAACAGAGUAAAACAUUGUUAUGCUUUUCUUUUUUUUAAUGUAAAACGUUGUUAUGCUUUAAUCAUUGUUGAUACUAUAUCCGUUUAGUGUUAUAAUCAAGAACAAGACAUAAUGUUGUAUAUAUUACACGUAUAAAAAUCGUACCUGGACGCCUUCCCAUAGCUUCUCAAGCAUGUUGUUGCCUCUCAGUUUGAGAUUAACGAGAUGUUCUGGUAGAAAUUUACUUGGAUUACAUCUCCUAAGGCAAUCGAGAUAAUCUAGUCCAGGGAGACUCUUGUUCCAUAAACAAUCUGCUACGUCGAUGUCAAUUCCAUAUGGGGAAAUUUGCAUUAUAGUCUCAGGGAAAUUUCUCAACUUGGGGCAUCGUAGGAGAUCGAGGUACUCGAGAGAUUCCGAGUUGAGAGGACUUGGAAAACUUUCUAGCACUUCGCAAUCAGAAAUAUCUAAUCUCUCGAGGUUCAUGGCAUAAGAAAGAUCUGGAAUUUCUUUCAAAUAUUUGGAAUUACGCAGAAUCAUCUUCUUUAGGCUUCCAAGUAGCUGAAAACAAGGAAAGAGAGAAUAACACACAUUUAUAAACAUUUCAAACAGAUUUAUUUAGAUUGUUUAACAAAUAAAUUAAUAAAAAUAACACACUUCUGUUUUCAAAUAGACAACUAAAACAAUAAAGAAUUAGUACCUGAGUUCCAUUCCACAGCUUCUCAAGGUCACUAUUCACCAUUCUGAGUUCAACCAGAUACUCAGCCUUAAAAUUAGAAGGCAAACGCUUCAAUGGACAAUUAUCCCACCAUAGCCAUUUGAGUUUACGUGGCAAGUAAACGAGGCCGUUAGGUAGACGCAUUCUGGUUUCUCUCGGUUGCCACCAUGAAUGAUCAUGAAUUUUUAGAUAUUGGAGAUUAAGCAUGCCUUGGAACGAGUUUUCAUCUAUUGAAAUAAAUGGCUUAUCUAUUUGUGAAUCUGAUGACGCGCUGAAAUGUAUUCCGAGCAAUUUUUCAGUCCCCUGACAAAAACAAAUCCCCAAAGAAAACUAUUAUCCUCAAGUACCAAACUAAAUCAGUUUUUUUCUGUCCUUUUUAACAUCAAAAGCCAAUCGGUGAAUUAAUAUAAAGUGGUGCAUUAAGCUGCAAAAACUUACGGUAUUAUCGGUAAAUACGUCUAGAAUUUCCUCAGCAUUCUCCAGAAAUCGACGUUUUCCAGGAUUACCAUUAGACUCUUCACGAUCAAUUUCUGUAGCCAACUUCUGAAGCAAAUUGUGCAUCUCUAUAGUAUCAUUCGGUGUUAAACGUAUGAGGGACUUAUCAUCCAACGUUUUGAGCCUAAUGUUAACAUUAACACCAUCUCCGAGGAAGUCUUUGAUGGAUUUGACUUUCCAACCAUUGAAUAACCAUGCAAUGUAAUGGAAUAUAUCUUGAUCUUUUGGAUCUAAUCUAACGUAGCUGACUCUUAAUGUUUUCAUAAUAUCUCUGUUCAAACCAUUUUGGAGCUCAGCCAGCAUCUCCAUCCACUCUUCUUUGCUCCUUCGUUUUAAAGACGAACCAAGGACACUGAGACCCAAAGGAAGAUUACCGGCAAGCUUUGCAACUUCAAAUGCUAGUUCCUUAAAAUCAUCAGGUGGAGAGUAUUUCCCAAAAGCAUAUUGGCAUAUCAUCUUAAGAGCAAGACCUUGAGAUGGGAGCUUCACCUCAUAUAUAAGGUCAAUCUCAUGAGCCUUGAGAAGUUGCCUAUCUUGAGUGAUCACAAUUAUUCUGCUUCCAGAUCCAAACCAUUCAGCUUUUCC